rnacentral:lncRNA from 1 species
AACUGAUUGCUCAAAGAACAUGAUAACAUCAGACUGUAGGUGGUCUUCAUACGCUCUUUUGUGGACUUGUGUAUCCAGUAUGGUUUAGGAAUGAGAACUAACAUCUGGUGGUAGUUGCAAGCCGGCGUAUUUUGCUAGUAUUGUUGUAGUUGGAAGGUCCUUUUGUGGAUGGUACCAUUGUAGCCUUGUAGUGUACUUUGUUGAUCUAUAUGUAUGGAACUAAUGAUGAUAUAUGAAGUCUGAUGUUGUCAUAUAAAUCUAUUCUCACAUGGUCUCUGUGAAAUAAUGUAACAUCUGUAGCAUCUGGGUUAAGCACAUUGCUUUUCCGGCAGGAAUAUGAAAAAAAACAUCAUGAUGCAACAGUGACGGCCAACGGCUGACAGGAAUGCACGAACGUUGCAGCUUUCCUAGCACAAAUUCCUGUCGGCUGAACCUACAGGUAUAAGUUGGUAGGAAUGCCUCCUAGUACAAAUUUCCUGGCGGCCUUUCCUGACAGGUGGUUGACAGGAAUAUGUAUUUUCCGGGAGGCAUAAAUCUGACAGAGCAUUUCUUUCGUGUGAGCCAACCGUCAGGAAUAACCGACAGCAAUAAUAUUCCUGUGGGCCGACCGGCAGGCAUAUUGUUUCAUUCCUGGCAGGCUAUGGCUGUCGGUUGUUCCUGUCGGUUGGCCGACAGGAAUUAUAUUCCUGACGGCCAGUUUUAUUUUCCUGACGGCUGUUGGCCCACACGCUUAGUCGCGUUUCUGGUAGUGUAAGCCAUCCAAACUAACCAAUGACAAGAGCCUGAGAGAGGAGAGCUGCCAUAAUGGUGGAAGAUCCUUGCAGUUCUUGCAGUAGCCCAGAGAAAGUUCACUGAUAUGCUCUAACAGUGUAGGGUUGUGCAUCCAUGAUGAGAAUUUGGCACCACUAUAACUAAUUAACAAUAAAGAUUCAAGAUUUGUGUGAGGACGAAGGGCCUCUAAUAUUUCAUCUGCAUUACUAUCUACUUCAUCUUCAUAACUUCUGACGGAUAUAUUGCCAUACCAAUCGAGUGAUAAUCGUUUCAAUUUAUGCUUGGGGGAUAUAUUGCCUUCUUUAGCAUUUUCUGCACUAUGCACUUUUCUCAGCUCCGACAAAGAAAGACCACCACCUAGAUUCAGAUUUUUCAGUUGAUCAAUUCCACAACCUGCAUCGUAAUCAAUGAAAUAAUCCGUCAAAGUGUGUAGAGAAGUCAGCUGACUAAUACCCCGUGGCAUGCGGCUCAAACUCUCACACCCAACAAGGAGGAUGUGCCGAAGACUGCUCAUAUAUCUCAUGCCUUCUGGCAAUUUCUUAAGCUCUUUGCAAUCAAUGAGCUUCAAUGUUUGCAAGCUAUACAACAUGGUAGUGGCUUCAGGCAAUGUAGAAAUAUUGGACUUAGAACAAUCUAGAUAGCGAAGAUGCUUCAAAUUUAUCAAAUUUUUCUUGAUCGAGAGUGUAUUCAAUGCUCGCAAGGACAUGGAUUUUUUCUUGGCCAUACUCAGAGACUUGGAUAUAUCCUGGAUUAAUAUCGUGCGGGGUCGUGGAGCUAGAAUUUCCUUCAUGGCUGCAAUAGUAUCAUUGCUGAUAUAAUCAAGUGUCAAGUGUCGAACCUCAUGCUGUAAUGAACUAGCAUGUGUGCAUCCUUGCAGAAUUUCUUUACAUGAUGAAGAUUCUUGCAGAAUGAAGCAAUCAUUUCCACUUACAUGGUGAGCAAGAUCAUGCAUGAGAUCAUGCAUCUUGCAAGUGGUUGGUUGGUACAUGAAGUUAUCUCGUUGAAUCUCCGCAUCUAAGAGAAAACAUCUCCAAACUAGCACAUCAAAAAUUUCUUGGCCUCUUGUUUCUGAUGCAAUAAAGUCAUUUGCCAUCCAUAGCUGGAUUAACAUCUCUUUAUCCAUCCAUCUGUACUUGGGGAAAAUAGCAUAGAAGGAAAAGCAUAUUUUUUCUUCUGAUGACAAGUGAUCAUAGCUCAGCUGUAGUGCAGGUACAAUUCCAGUAGUUGUGACGAUGUCAUCCUUCCACACAUCACUGUCCAUAACAGAAACCCACUGACCGUGAUUCUUUGAACAAAGUAAAGCUGAUAUAGCCUUGAUAGCAAGGGGCAAUCUCUCACACUUGUGCACAAUACACUUAGCCAUUGAAAUCAAUUCCUCUUGCUUCUCCACUUCCCUCCCAAAUGCGAUUCUGCGAAAAAGCUCCCAUGAUUCAUCCUCAUUCAGAAGUGAUAUCUGAUGUGGAGGAAGUGUGCCCAUGAUAGAAGCAACUUGAUUGCUGCGGCUUGUCACAAUUAUAGCACUUCCGGAGCCGGCAUGUAAGUUUAGCAAUGAUCUCAUAGCAUCCCACUUUUGUCCAUCUUCAUUCCAAACAUCAUCCAGCACUAGGAGGUACCUUUUGUUGCCCAAAACACCACAAAGUUCCUUCUGCAAUGCCUCCAUCUGAGUCAAAUCACAUUGUUCCACGGUGGUCACUUCUAUUAUAGAUCGGAUGGUUUCUUCAAUAACGAACUUGUGAGAGACACAAACCCAUAAGACCAACUCAAAAUGAUGCUUCACCCUCUGAUCAUUAUGGACAAGUUGGGCAAGAGUGGUCUUACCAAUUCCCCCCAUACCAACUACGGGGAGCACCAUGACAUUACUAUUAUCAUCAUUGCUGUUGUUGGAGUGAUCGAGCAAUAUCUUCACCACUUGUUCCCUGUCAUUUUGCCUUCCAACUAUCUCUGAUUCAUUUACAUGAGAGUGUGUUUGCGGAUGAUCAAUGGUCGGUGCCUCGGCAUGUUGGAGGAAGUGAAAAUUAUUCAUCUCCACAACCAGUUCAUCUAUCAUUUCUUCUUCCUGCUCAUGGAGAGGCGGAAAAUAACCGGGCUGUUGGUGGUGAAGUAGCUCAGCAUCUGCAAUGAAAUGAAAACAAUUAAAUUGGAAUAAAAUACUUCCAUUUCCAAAACCUUAAAGAAAUAGACGAGAUGCAGAUUAUGCACGAGAUGCUUGCUGUUUUAUGUCAGAUGAGAUAAGGCUAGUUUAAGGAAAGGUACGUGUUCCGAUUCUUGAGGCAUAUUUUAGUGAGCCGUCCACCAGAUGUAUUAGUGCCUCCACUCCUAGUCCUAGGGUUCCGACUCUUAAUUCUCCCUUUCCCAUUUCCCCCUGUUCUCUCCUUGGAGAUUGUGUUUGUUGGACCCCACUACAUGCCCUGAUAACUCCUGUCCUACUCCUGUGUGGUCUUUGUUAGCACUUUUUUGGUCGGAUUUAGUAAAGCAAUUUGUGUUUUGCUGGCCACCUCCUUGCUCCCUCGGUGGUGGUUUUAGUAGGUUCAACAGGCCAACAAGAAGAGAGGAAAACACAGGGCAUCCAUAAAUACUUAGGAAGUUGAGCAACUAACGACUCUACAAUACAUGUAUAUAGCUGAGCUGAGCGGACAUUUAGGCACAUCUUUGGAUGGCCAGCUCCCGCCACACUGCUCGUGGACUGGUCUCCACCGGCACGGAUAAGGUGUACGAAUAUGGGUGGAUCUUGUAAAAGAGUCACACUUUCAUGGCAUUCUUGAAGUCGUUCAAGCAGCCGCCGUUGGCCACGUGAUGCAUGACGAGCCUCUCGUCGCACCUGAGGCCGGCCAUUGAUGCGUCCCAUGAUGUAGGGAGCGCUUCCGUGUAUGUAGAGAAACCCAUGGCGAUUCGUCGGUUAGCUAGGGUAGGGUUAACAACCAAAUCGAUCGACCGCUCGGCUCUAUCUGCACGCUUUAAAUAGCUACCGACCGACGAUUGGCAUUCCAGGGUCUUGAUAUUGGUUGAAAAAUCCGUGACUGUACGUACGCAUCACGCUCGGUCUCUCCCGAUUGCACUGUAAUGACCGUAUAUAUAUUUAUAUAAAUAAAAUAAAAUAACGUACAUACGUAUCCUUGCAUGGUACGUGCGUUGCUGCGCCUAUCCCACAAGAAAUCGGGGAUUUUUGGCUUUUGCUUAUUUUUUAGUUCAGCAUGUUAGGAGAUCUGCUAAUGUACUAGCUCACAUGUGUGCAAAGCUUGCUAGUACACGUACUCGUACUAGUUCAUGGAUCUGAAUUUCAAUAUUCGAAUCAAAAGUUAUGGCUUUCUAAAUUUUAUAAAACCGAAAUAAAUGCAUGUGCUUUUCCUUUCUUAACUGAUUUGUGCAAAAUAGAAAACGUUCGAAGGGAUGAGGCCCACAUAAUUUCUUUUUUUGUAGUGUAAAGAUGACACGGGGUGCCGAUUACCCUUUAUGGCAAGUCUGCUUGGAUGCACCCCGUGCCGUGUGAGUUUUCUGUCACGGUGCGCUUAGGAAGUCCAAUUAGUGCAGAAGCAUUUGGGAUUUAAAAAUUGCCCCACCAAGGAUUAAGCCUUGUCCCCCGUUCUUCUUCCAGCAUAAAAAUUUCUCUCCUGUUUUUCUUCAAUUUUUCCUCGCACUUUUUGUAUCCUGAAAUUCCAAAAUAGCAGAAAACAGAAACUUACACUAGGCAGCUGAUUAAUAUGUUAGUCCAAUAAAAUUGAUAAAAAAUAUGUCCAAAGUGCGUAUAAUUGAUAUCGUAGUAGAAUAAAUCAUACAUAAAUUAUGGAUACGUUUAAUAAGUAUCAAAGGAGAACUCAGACAACAAAUAUGCACACUAGCGGGCCGGGGAUGAACCGAUGGGGACUAUAUCCCAAUCUGACAUUUUGGGACGGUCUACGGGGCGACAAUAAACAGGAGGAGCCCAGGAUGGUGGACUACUUGGGGGAAAGAAAACCAUGAAGAUUGUGCUGCGAAGAUAGGAGAACCAAACAAUGAUUGGGGUAGAGUGGGUAAUGAAGGAAAUAUGCCCUAGAGGCAAUAAUAAAGUUGUUAUUUUAUAUUUCCUUAUUCAUGAUAAAGGUUUAUUAUUAAUGCUAAAAUGUUAUUGAUCGGAAACUUAAAUACAUGUGUGAAUACAUAAACAAAUAUCGUGUCCCUAGUAAGCCUCUACUAGACUAGCUCGUUAAUCAAAGAUGGUUAAGAUGUCCUAACCAUAGACAUGUGUUGUCAUUUGAUAACGGGAUCACAUCAUUAGAAGAAUGGUGUGAUGGAAAAGACCCAUCCGUUGGCUUAGCAUAAUGAUCGGUCAGUUUAUUGCUAUUGCUUUCUUCAUGUCAAAUACAUAUUCCUUCGAUUAUGAGAUUCUGCAACUACCGGAUACCGGAGGAAUACCUUGUGUGCUAUCAAACAUCACAACGUAACGGGGUGACCAUAAAGAUGCUCUAAAUGUAGCUCCGAAGGUGUUUGCUGAGUUGGCAUAGAUCGAUUAGGAUUCGUCACUCCGAGUAUCGGAGAGAUAUCUCUGGACCCUCUCGGUUAUACACAUCAUAAGCUUGCAAGCAAAUGACUAAAGAGUUAGUCACAAGGUGAUGUAUUACAGCAAGUAAAGUGACUUUCCGGUAACGAGAUUAAACUAGGUAUGAAGAUACCGACAAUCAAAUCUCGGGCAAGUAACAUACCGAUGGACAAAAGGAAUUACGUAUGUUGUCAUAACGGUUCGACCGAUAAAGAUCUUCGUAGAAUAUGUAGGAGCCAAUAUGGUCAUCCAGGUUCCGCUAUUGGUUAUUGACCGGAGAGGUGUCUCUGUUAUGUCUAGAUAGUUCCCAAACAUGUAGGGUCCGCACGCUUAACGUUCGUUGACGAUAUAGUGUUAUCUGAGUUAUAUGUUUUGGUGAUCGAAUGUUGUUCAGAGUCCCGGAGAAGAACACGGACAUGACAAGGAGUCUCGAAAUGGUCGAGAGGUAAAUAUUGAUAUAUAGGACGAUGGUAUUUGGACACCGGAAGUGUUUCGGGAACCGGGAAGGAAUCGGGUUACCGGAAGGAGUUCGGGGAACUCCCCGGCAAGUUAUGGGCCUUAUGGGCCAAAGGAGGGGACAGACCAGCCCACGAGGGGGCUGGUGCACCUCCUUCCUUGUAUGGCCAGCCCCAGGGAUGGAAAAGGGAAAGGGCUAGCCCCUCCUACCUUUCCCUCUCAUGGGAGAGAGGAAGGGGGGGGGCACCCUCCCCUACCUUUCCCCGCACUCCAAAUAAGGAAAGGGGGGCACUUGGGAGGGAACCCAAGUAGGAUUGCUCCUACUUGGGCACCUCCUUUACCUGCUCCUCCCUCCCUCCCUCCUCCCACGUAUAUAUCUGUGUGUGGGGGGGGGGGGGGGGCUAGCACACAAUAGACAAUUGCCUAGCCGUGUGCGGCGCCCCCCUCCACCGUUUACACCCCCGGUCACAUUUUCGUAGUGCUUGGGUGAAGCCCUAUGGAGAUCACUUCACCAUCACCGUCACCACGCCGUCGCGCUGCCGGAACUCAUCUACUACCUCGCCGUUUUGCUGGAUCAAGAAGGCGGAGGACGUCACCGAGCUGAAUGUGCGCACAACGCGGAGGUCCCGUACAUUCGGUACUUGAUUGGUUGGAGAGCGAAGAAGUUCAACUACAUCAACUGCGUUGUUAAACGCUUCCGCUUACGAUCUACAAGGGUACGUAGACAUACUCUCCCCUCUCGUUGGUAUGCAUCUCCAUAGAUAGAUCGUUGGUAUGCAUCUCCACGGUGGGCGCCAACUAUCGUGGUUCUAAGCCUGACAGUAGAAUAGGGGGUAGGUAUGGAGAGCCAAGAUCCUAGCUAUGGAGUAGUUGUAUACGCAAGGGAGUUACGAGUCCGAGAAGGGCCCGAACUCGUAACUCCCUUGCGUAUACUACUACUCCAUAGCUAGGAUCUUGCCUCUCCAUACCUACCCCCUAUUCUACUGUCAGGCUUAGAACCACGACAGUUGGCGCCCACCGUGGGGCAGGUGUCUUAGCGACUUAUUGGAGAAGUUGCAAUUGUUCCGAUCGCCUUCAUCAUGGUUUCUGGCGGAGUUUUGGUGGAGGGCCGCGAGAUCCAUCUCGGCGCGCUCACGUUUGUCGCCGACGACUCCGCUUGGCUCCAGGAGGCUCCACAAGACAUCGACGCGCUCCCACUCCGUGGGGCGACACACUUUCGCGCAUGUGUCUGCGGCGUCCUGCUGCGGCAACCGUCGGCCCCGUAUCGGUCGACCCCUGUGUCGUCCUCCCUCCCUGUCUCCCGCCAGCGCAAGCGCUCUGGUCGGUCCAGGCUUCAGCGGUAGCUGAGACACGCAGUGGCUCGCCAAUCGGCCACCACCCAAGUCGCGACGAUUGAGCCCGACGAAUCUCUCUAUGGCCUGUUCGAUCUGUCGACUGGCUCCGUAGAGACUGCAUCCGAGUACGACAGCAGUGAUCCGGCGGCGGAGGUCCUGAUGGUCAAUGGGCCUCGUAGUCCUCCCGGUUUCCCCCACACCGACGGAGGGGACGGUGGAGGCGACCCAGCUCAGGUCCACGAGGAGUAUCAACCCGAGCCACUCACUUCGUUGCAAAGAGAAGAUCUUCGCCGCCGGAACAUGGAUGCUCUGCAUACUCCUAUCUUAGGAGAAACCCCCGAGGCUCGCGCCUUGGAGGACGCGCGUUUGGCCAACUUGGCUGAGCGCACUCGACUGGAGAACCUCCAGCGAGCACUCGACGAGCGCGCGCGGCAACGAGUUCCAGACUUUAGCCGACGUCAACUCUUUCCGCCACCGACUCAGGUAUAUCGAACCCCAAUUCAGAAUCUGGCAGCUGCAGCCCGUAUAGCGGAGUCGAUUCAGCCCUCUCAGUUAGAGGCUGGCAAAGGCUUGAUGCAGAUCAGAGAUUUGCUCCAGGCAGCAGGAGAUCAAAAUUCAGCUGUAUCGCAGUCGCGUAAUAGGAUUCACAGUCAAUCCGUCGCUGCGAAUACAGUCCAGUCGGCCCAUAGCCCGAGAUCGCCCCUGCGGCGUGAGGGACGUGGGGGUCGACGUCAUCAGUAUGAUGACCUAUUCGAUCGCGAUGAUCGGCGUCGAGUGCCCACUCCUCCCCCAAGGGGUGGGUCUUACGCCCCUCGGCAGCAAGAUGACAGACGCCAACACAGUGUUGGGCGAAGGGUUCCAGUCGACCCCAGAGAACCAGGCUUUGACGCGAGGUCCUUUAUCGUGCAAGGUCUGGUCGACCGGAACAGAGCUCACCGAGAAGGGCAUGACAGAGAUGCGCCCACCAGCAGCCGAGUUCAUGUCUCAAGACCAGAGUGUUUUAGCAGAGCCAUCAGAGCCGUGGUGAUCCCUUCCAACUUCAGGUUGGCGACUGGGGUGAGUAAGUUCACUGGUGAGUCUAAGCCCGAUACUUGGCUUGAGGACUACCGAGUGGCUGUUCAGAUUGGCGGUGGUAAUGAUGAGGUGGCCAUGAAACACUUACCUCUUAUGUUGGAGGGCUCGACCAGAGCCUGGCUAAAUCAGUUGGCUCCUAGCCGCAUUUACACUUGGGAAGAUCUUGCCCGAGUAUUUGUCAGGACAUUUGAAGGGACGUGCAAACGGCCUGCAGGUCUGACAGAGCUGCAGGUUUGCGUACAAAAGUCGAAUGAAACCCUGAGAGAUUACAUCCAGAGGUGGAUCACAUUGCAUCAUAUGGUGGAGAACGUAUCUGAUCACCAAACAGUUUGUGCCUUCAAGGAAGACGUUAAGAACAGAGAGUUAAGUUUGAAGUUUAGUCGGACCGGAGACAUAACUCUGAGUCGAAUGAUGGAAAUCGCCACCAAAUAUGCCAAUGGGGAAGAAGAGGAUCGACUCCGGAGUGGCAAGUACAAGCCGAGCCAGUCGAAAAAAGGGAACUCCAGUCGGAAGCAGAAGCGGAAAGCCGAGCCAGCUUCUCCUGGAGAAGCCUUGGCCGUGACUCAGGGCAAGUUUAAAGGGAAGCCCAAAGGAUCUUGGAACCCCAAGAAGGUGAAGGACAAGGAAGGAAAUGACGUGAUGGAUUUGUCAUGCCACAUCCACCCGAAGAAAGAUGAAGAGGGUAACUUCAUUUAUCCGAAACAUACCACUCGCCAGUGCCGGCUCUUAAUCCAGCAGUUUCAAGGGAAACAAACCAAGGAUAAAGAAAAGGAGUCGGACAAGAUUGAGGACAAAGAGGACGGUGAUGAAGGAUACCCCCAUGUUAAUUCCACCCUGAUGAUUUUUGCUGAUGUUGAGAGCAAAAGUCGAUUGAAAGUUAUCAACCGGAAGUGAAUAUGGUUGCUCCGGCAAAACCCAGUUAUCUGAAGUGGUCUCAGACCGCCAUCACAUUCGACCAGUCUGAUCAUCCGACACACAUAUCCACCCCUGGGAGGCAAGCUUUGGUGGUCGACCCAGUCAUCGAAGGCACUUGACUGACUAAGGUUCUGAUGGACGGUGGCAGCGGACUGAACAUAUUGUAUGCGGACACGCUGAAGGGAAUGGGCAUUCCAUUGUCCAGACUCAGUUCCAGCAACAUGAGUUUCCAUGGAGUCAUUCCUGGAAAAAAGGCUAAAAUCACUCGGCCAAAUUGCUGUUGAUAUGGUUUUCGGCGAUUCAAAGCAUUUCCGCAAAGAAAAGUUAACAUUCGAAGUUGUGGAUUUCCAGAGUGCUUAUCACGCCAUUUUAGGCAGGCAAGUUAACUCUGGGCGACAAGUGCCUGAGAUGAACUAUAGCCUCUCGAGCAGCUAGUUGUAUGGCUUGUGGCUCAAAGGAAGUUGUUCUUCCGGUGAACCUGUAGGGGCGCUUGGGUACUAUACCCCUACCGUAGAUGUGUGCAGUGGCCCAGAAUUGACGUUCUUCACCGCUCAAGGGUCCUUGGUACACAACAUAUUCUGGUGGCUCCUCUAACGCAUAGGCACGACGGGUGAGGUUUGCGAGGAUGGUCACAAAACCUCCAAGGUUGGUUGCUGUGGUCUCGUUGUGCACUAUGGGGCCAGGCAUUGUGGCUGGGUUCGAGGUUGUGCUGUGCUGGGUUGGGGCUAGCGUGCCCUUUUUAUAGAAAAAAGGGAACGGAGUCUUCUUUCGCACGCUUGCGAAUGAGACAUUUUUACCAUCGGUCACUGGUGUGUGACCGACAGGCUAGGCUGAUAGGUUGGGCACCGACUGCCAAAAGUGUCGGGGUCACUGUGUGGCUAUCUUGCACGGGAAGCUUGGCUGGGGUUUGGCUAAGGUCUAGUGGGUUGGUUUGCCUAAGUUUUUCGACCUGGCUAAGAUAGGAUUAGCCAAUGGUCAGCCUGGCUCUGAUACCAAGUCUGUCACGACCGGUUUUCCGGGUAAUAAAUUUCCAGAAAAGACCGUCGUGCUCAUCAGCCCCAGGAUUACUGUUAGCUGAUGAGGCUCCAACUUGAUACAGAAAUUCCAAGCAGAAAACAAAAUAUGUAGUACAAGGCCAUUCUGGCCUGUGAGUACAACAAAUGGUUUCUAGUGGUUGAUGGCGGAAGCGGGUUGUGAAACAUCAGUGUCUAUGGGACUCCAUUUCCCACGGGAACAACUGACCAGGUUAACUCCUAUCUUCGCGAGGCUGCUAUCUCCAUUACUUAGGUUCCGGGGCUGUCAUCGCGUCGGUCCUCUUCGUGCAAGAAAAUCUGGCCAAGACAAUAGCCAGGGACAAGCCAGUGAGUACUUUGAAUGUACUCACAAACAUUAUGAACACAGGUAUAAUAUAACAAUGAUGUGCUGAAAAUAUUUUAUGCUCAUGACGUCAGUCACAAAAGAUAAAUAAAUCUCUGACGCGUGCAAGCAAGUCAUUUAUAAAAUUGCAAUAACAUAGUAUUAUUAAAAUUUAUGAAAUAAAUAACAAGCAAAGACACAGUCGGGCGUCUUAGCGACACCACAUAAAGGGCUUUAAAAGAAAUGCCACAGUCGGGCGUCUGAGCGACACCACAUAAAGGGCUUUAAAAGAAAUGCCACAGUCGGGCGUCUGAGCGACACCACAUAAAGGGCUUUAAAAGAAAUGCCACAGUCGGGCGUCUGAGCGACACCACAUAAAAGGCUUUAAAAGAAAUGCCACAGUCGGGCGUCUGAGCGUCACCACAUAAAGGGCAUUAAAAGAAAUGCCACAGUCGGGCGUCUGAGCGACACCACAUAAAGGGCUUUAAAAGAAAUGCCACAGUCGGGCGUCUGAGGGACACCACAUAAAAGGGCUUUAAAAGAAAUGCCACAGUCGGGCGUCUGAGCGACACCACACAAAGGGCUUUAAAAUAAACAAUCAUAGUGAAUAUCCCGGAGGUAGAACCAUCCCAGAGAUUCUCGAUAAUAACAAUAAUAUCACGGGUUAGUCAACAAUAAUAAUAAUCAUAAUUAUCACAAGUCACAGGUAGUAGUUCCAGUUCUGGUUAACGGUUUCACCUCCGAAGACCGACACUAAGACCGACACUUGACCCAUCCCAGACUGUAAUCCUUAACCAUGGACACGGCUAUUCGAAUAGGUUUAAUCUCUGCAGAGGGUGUACUCUUUACCCACGAGUAACGGAUUUCUUUAGUCCAUCGGGACUAAUUCCGUCUACGGUCUUUUUGUUGAAAACACACCUAACUUGCACACACCAGCUUAUCUCACACGUGUCUGGAAUCACCCACGACACCUGUUAAGCAAACUCUAAGUGGGGAGGCUACAACCUCGCGUAGCAUGGGAUCAAAUUUAUAUCGCGCGCUCUAAGGGGUGGCCUCCCCUCUCGGUCCCAACCGGAAACACCCAUGCCCCCGGACCAGGUGGCCUGCCUACCAGCUACAACCGGUAUCUUCCACCAUGGCCUCUCUGUACGGUGUGUGCUAGAAAGAGGUUGACAACUUACUGAACCGUACUCUACUUGCUGUAGAGACGAGUGGUAGUACGAAACAAGUAUGGGGGUUACUGGCACAAGACUCGAUCUAUGGUCGACUCAGGAGGUUUAAGUAUUCCCUGCAUGAUUAGCAUGACGAAUAUAUUUCAACCAACAGAGUCACCGCUCAUAUCACCUUCCAUGCCAUACCAGACAUAACCGUCCUGACGGAGACCGGCGACAAACUCAUGCCUACCCAAGGCAGAGGUUUUCCCGGGUUCCUGCCGGUAUGCAUGCAAGGCACAUUAGGGUGAUUAUCAUCACAAGUGUGUCCAUUUCCAACAGCAUGGAAAUCAAUAACAUGCACCCAUGCAUAUGAUCAUAUCACAUGAAAUAACAAGUUUCUCCAAAGUGAGGUGAUGUUAUGAACGUGUCAUCGAACACACAAAAAUAUUAUGCCGGGUUCAGAAUGCUUGCCUUCAAUGUGUGGAAUAGCAGGGUGCACUCCAAAAGUUGAAACAUUUCUCCUCUCUUCAAAAAUCCUAUUUUAGCAAUAUAAAAGAAUUAACACACAAAAUAAAAACAGCACCAAAAGUUGUUCUGAAAUUUUUUCAAAUAAAUCUUAAAAUAAACUAGGUGAAAUUUGAGACAGGUAGGAAAUAGAAUAAUUUCAUUUGGAGUUGUAUUUAAAAAGAUAUAACCAGUCAAAGUUUUUGUCAAAUUCUGUUUUUUAAAAAUAAAACAAAAGAAAACGUUUCAGCCACGAAUACGCUUUCUAAGUAGGGGUUACGUACUUGGGGUUUUACGCUAUCACUUAACACGCGUGGCGGCGGAGUGGGUCACUGACAGUGGGUCCACGGGGCCCACUAGUCAGGUUUGACUAGUCUUUCUCCCUCUCCUUCCUCUGUCCCGAGCGGAGGCGGAGCUCAGGCAAUCGUCGCCGGCGACUGGCGGCUCCUCGCGGGGCCCCAAGGGCGGGGAUGGAUCCGCCACUCCAGGGCGGUCAUCCCGGUGGUCGACAGGUAGGUGGGGGCGGAGGGAGCUGCCGGCGGCGAGCUUCGCGGCGGAGGAGGCUUCGGUGGCGAAGUGGUUUUGUGGCGGCGAUGGCUUCCGAACCAAAUUGAGUAGGGGGAUCUGUUCACGGGAGGAAGAGAGGACUUCUGGUGAAGAGAGUGGAGAGGGGGAAGCCCUGGUGGCGCCAGAGUGAACGAGACAGUGGCGGCGGCAGGAGUUGCCGGAGACGAAGAAGGCGGCGUUUCCCUGACGAUUGUGGGCUAUGGGGGUUCCAUGGGGUAGCCUAAGGUUGCGUGCGUGCUCAGAGGGGCUCGGGGUCCCUUUUUAUAGCGUGUCAAGGCGGUUCCGCGGCGGCUGCGGAUAAGGUCGCCGGCGACCGCCAUUGUGUAGCUAGGGCGUCGUGGCGGCGACGAGCGCUAGCGGACACACUCGUGGAUGAGCUCGCGCUGUCCCAGGGGCCAGGUGGCGAGCGGAAGAGGCUUGGGCGGCGCUGAACGGAGCAGGGGCUGUCGGCGGCCGUGGCGGGUAGCUCCUGGCCUGUCGGGGACGUGGCGAGGGGCGGCUUGGCGUGUUGCGGUGAGGAGGGACGUGCGUGGCGUGGCUCUGCAGUGGAGGCAAGGCCAGGGGCGCGACGCGUCGGCUCGGGCGCGGCACGUGCAAAACGCGUGCCAAACGCACGCUCUGCUCGCGCUCCGGGCGUGCACGGGACGUGCUCGACGUAAUGCCAGGGCAUGCUAGAGGUCGCGGUUGAGGCUGGGAAGAAACAGGGCUGGGUUAGGGUUAGAUAGAGGGUGAGUGGGUAUGGUUGCUAGGUCAGGCGACCAAGUUCACAGUGUAAACUUGAAUCCAUGCCAAAUCUGGCUAUGCUCUCCAGGUGUUUGACAAAAUGCCACAGGCACCUAGGCUCUUCUUGGGCGUGGCCAAAUCCUCCAGAUCAGGGUCUCCUUAGAAACAAGAGAGAGUGGUGAGGUUAGUUUGUGAAAAGCACAAACUUGUUAGUGCAAGUUUUGCAAAACUACAAUUCUUGACAGGAAAUAAAUGACAUUAUUUCAUGAACCAAAAUUAAUCCAAUGGGUGCAUGCUCCUGGAUUUAGGGGUUUGGUAGGGCUGUCUACAAGUAGGAGAAAACACAAGAUCUUUGGAGCAAAAUUAAAUAGGGUUGCAGUAGAAAUCACAAGGCUGGACCAGAAUGAAAAAGAGGAUGAUUCACUCAAUUUUUUCAAAGAACAUAAAUAGGUUUUCACACAAAGUGGAAUAAUAUGCUCCUACUGACCUCCCCUAAUUUUGGUAGAAGUUUUAAAUAAAUAUUUAAAUAGGUUGUAGUGUAAAAUUGCCCACUGGACCAGAUUUGAACACUUGGUGUAGAACUCAAAAUAUCCAAUGAAUGAAAUAUAUUAUUGCACAAAAGUGAUUUGGAGACAUCACAUGAUAUCUCCAAACCUUAGUGAAAUUUUUAGUUAAAUAUAUCAAAUGGUUGUAGUUCAAAAAGAGCUCCAAAUUUUAAAACAAGUCAUUUAAUGAAUAAAGCUCAGGGUGAAAUAAUUUUAUAAAUAAAUCUCCUGAUUGAGAGAUGUUUUUUUAAAUGAGAGUGACAGGACCCCGACUCGAUGUCACAUCGAUCUAGCCGGUAACACCUCAUAUCACUUUGCGGCCUCACGCACGGUAUCCCCACGGGUGUCGCCUUACCUCUGCCCGGGACCGUUUGCGCCUUUUGGCUCACGUAUAUGAUGGUGUCGCUAGCAUCCAUAUGAUAAAGAGCCCGGGCUGACAUGACUAGUCGUAAACCCAAAGUGGCACAGACUUACAGGGACAGGCAUCCAUGACCCAGCUUCGAACGUGUCGGUCAUCAGCAAGUGGGUCCGGGCUGUAGCACUGGGCUAGCAGGACUCCGGAAAACCGGGCUGUAGCGGGCUAACAGGACUCCGGUACUCAAAGCGUGACAUUUCCCCGAAGGGAUAGACACAGGAACGAAGAAGGACACAUGCCGGCCAGCCUAAGUGUUCCAGAGCAGUAGCAAGCUACCAUGGCUCAGCGGUAACACUAGGAGACAUUUCCCGGUAAGAGAGGCUACUAAAGAUAAACAACUAGAUAGUCAGAUCCCACACAUACCAAGCAUUUCAAUCAUACACACAAUAUGCUCGAUAUGUGCAAAUACAACGAAGCAUCACAACAUGACUCUACGACACAAGUACUUUAUUUAAGGCUCAGGGAGCCAUACAUAACAUACACAAAGGUACGGGUCUCACGACCCAACAUACAAGUCAUACAGUCAUACAAACCAGCAGCGGAAGUAACUUGUCUGAGUACAGACAACUAGUAAAAUAAAAGAGGCUUGGAAAGCCUAACUAUACUACGUGGUCCUUCACAAGCUCAGGGUCACCACCUGGGUCUUUAGCCUACUCGUUGAUGUCAACGUCUACAUAGAACCCAUCAGAAGGGGUUGCAACGUCUUCUGUAAAAAUGUAGAUUAUAGCAACAUGAGUACAAAGGUACUCAGCAAGACUUACAUCAGAUCCUACAUACAUGCAUAUUAUCAAGAAGGGUUGGUGGAGUUAUUGCAGCAAGCCAGCUUUGACUCUUGGCUAGACUAUCCUACGAUACUCCAACUUGAAAUGGUUUUGCGCACACGAGUCCACUACUCACCAAUUCAAUACACUACCGAGGAUCCACCUCCGUCUUCCUACGGAAGAGCCAUCCUCGGCACUCACACUUAUCUUGAGGCUUUUAGCAGUUUCCAUUUACUUGUCUAUGAACUGUAUAGGCAACCAAGUAGUCCUUUACCGCGGACGCGGCUAUUCGAAUAGAUCAUGUUAACCCUGCAGGGGUGUACUUCUUCAUACAUGUUUCCACCACUUAGCGUCUGCACACGACAUGUGCUCGGCAGACUUCAAGCGAAAGCCGACGUGGGUGUAGACCACGACCUACCUAAACACUUAAGCCUCUAGUCCAGGUUUAUCGCCUAUUCAGGUUCCAUCCGCAGGGAGUCCGGCCGAGGUUUCCCAUACGGCCCCGAACGAUGUGAACAGGGUUCCCGAGAUACCUAACGGGUAUUCGGUACACCGUGCCACGUACCUACCGCAUCACAGCCCACCCCUACGGUCAACGCUGUCCACGGCCUCCAGUAGGCUACAAACACCAGAAACUACUUGCAACUCCUGGACAGAGAGCUAAGGUGAAUAAGAAGUCGAGCGGGGUCAUAUUUCAGGGCCCAAUGCAUGGUAGUAGCUGAUUCUUAAAUCACACAUACAGAUCUCAGUGCUUAAGGUCGGCUUCAAUGAAACAACCCACCAUGUACUCCUACAUGGCCUCUCAUCGAUACCUUUACCAAAUCGUGUUCACCACACCACUCUCAUUACCGACAUUAACAUUUCACUCUAGCCCAUCACCCAGAUGAACCAGACCUGACACGACUCUAAGCAUAGCAGGCAUAGCAAGGUAGGAACAACACAUACAUAUGGCUCAAUCAACUCCUACACAUGCUAGUGGGUUUCAUCUAGUUACUGUGGCAAUGACAGGUCAUGCAGAGGAAAUGGGUUCAACUACCGUAGCACACAGUAGUUUGAAUCGCGUUGUCUUAAUGCAGUAAAAGAGAGCAGGAGCGAGAAGAUGGGAUUGUAUCGAUAUGAUCAAAUGGUUGGUUGCUUGCCUGAUGGUUCGUUGCACGGAUACGAUUCUUCGUUAGGGUAAUCACGGUACUCCUCGGGGACAGAUCCUGUCGCAAAGGGUAACGAUACACAGGCAUCACCAAACAAUGUGCAACAAUAUGAUGCAUGCAUGAAACAUGGCAAUAUGAGUGUGUUGGGCUAAUGCAACUAAAACCAGAUGUGUUUGAGCAAAUUUGAAUCAAAGAUUCAAAUUCCAAAUUCAAAUAUGGCCUUUUAAAGUGCCUUUUCUUGUUCUGAUUAAAACAUCAAGUUAACUUGUUUGAUCAUGCAUGAGAAUAGUACAGAUGGAUAGAUUGGAUUUUUCUGAUCAUUUUUCAUAUAUUAUUUGUCCAAUUUGGAGUUACAGAAUAAAAGUUAUGAGUUUUUGAAGUUUAAAUAAUAUUUUGGAAUUUCCUGAUUUAAUUUAAAUCCAGAAAUUCAAUUACUGCGUCAGCCUGACAUCACAAUGACAUCAGCAGGUCAACAGGGCUGGCUCGGGUCAAACCUGACGUGUGGGGUCCACACGUCAGUGUCACAGGGCUAAUCCCGCGUUGACCCCGGGCUGGUUAGCUUUGACUAAGCCCUGGGGCCCACUUGUCAGCGUCAGUAGGUGGUGGGUUAGUGGCUAAUUAACUGGGCCACGUCAGCUCGCCGGAGUUCUGGCCGGCGGCGACCAACAGUGCAGCGGCGAUAGUGGUUUUGGUCGUUUCGGCCACCAAAUGGAACGCGGCGACCACCGGAGUGAAGCUGAGGACGACCCGCGGCUCUUGGCGGAGUCCGUUGGGGUCGGGGUGGCCGGAGUUGACGGCGGUGAGCUCGGCUGCGGCCGCCGGGUUUCGGUCGUGCGCGGGAUUGGUGCUGGAGCUCGAAGUCGAGCAAAGUGAGGCGCUAGGGAUGCUCUACUGGGUUCUGUGAACGCGUUGGACUCGCCGGGGUGACCAAAUUGUCACCGGAGCUGCGUCGACGGCGAGCUCGGCGACGGCGGAGGUUCGGCCGUGGUGGAGAUGCAGCUAUGGUGAGGGAACGAGGGGAAGGAGAGGGGGAAACGGCUCGGGGGCUCACCGCGGUUGCAGUGGGCGUCGAAGCGGGCUCGGGGACGCGCUGGAGACGGCGAAUUCGUCGGCGACGGUGAUCGGAGCCCGAAGAGGGGAACGGCGAUGUGGCGGCGAUGCAGGGCUUCCGGGGACUCGUGGAGCGGUGGGGAGGAAGAGGGAGUUGUGGCGGAGCUUCUGAGCUACUCGGGGGAGCGAGGGGUGGCCGGAGACAGUGGCUACGGCGAACGGCGGCGAAGGUGUGCUUCGGCCGAGAGCGAGAGAGAGCGAGGGAGAAACGGGGGAGAGUGAGCGAGAGCAGGGGGGAUCGGGACGGGCUGCGGACGUCGUCCACGCGGCCAGGAGGGCGUCGGCAAGAAGGAGGUGGCCGCGCGGCCGCGCGCGCGCGAGCACGCAGCAGCUUCGGGGCGUGGGGAGGAAGACGACGGGGAGCUACAGUGCUGGGCUGGCUAGCUGGGCCGGCCAGCUGGCUGGGCCGCACAGGUAAGUCUUCCCUCUCUUUUCUGUUUUCUGUUUUAUUUAAUAUUUCUGCAACUUUGUUGAAUUAAAUAAAAUACCUAGUCAAUUCCAAAAAUCACCAAACUACUCCUGGUCCAUAGUUGGAAUAUUUCCAACAUGAAACAUUUCAGUUUGGAGAUAUUUGAGCAUUUAAAUAUUUUAUAUUAUUUUAAAUGCCCAAAUUCAAAUAUCUAUGAUUUAAUUCAAAGACCCUAUGAUGGCCUAGAAAAAUGUGCACCACUUUUGUCAGAGGUUCUGAACCAAGGCUAAAAUGAUGGACAUUUUAGAAGGGCAUUUCAGGUUCAUUGAAAAAUUAUUUUAGUAACCCUAGUUGGUUUCAGAGGGGACUGGGGGUUCUGUCAUCCCCAUUUCAAGUUUCUGAUGAAAAGUAAACAUGAUGCAACACUCUAAUGCAUGACUAGCUAGGGUGUGACAUCGAUCUAGCUGGUAACACCUCAUAUCACUUUGCGGCCUCACGCACGGUAUCCCCACGGGUGUCGUCUUACCUUUUCCCGGGACCAUUUGCGCCUUUUGGCUCACGUAUAUGAUAGUGUCGCUAGCAUCCAUAUGAUAAAGAGCCCGGGCUGACAUGACUAGUCGUAAACCCAAAGUGGCACAGACUUACAGGGACAGGCAUCCAUGACCCAGCUUCGAACGUGUCGGUCAUCAGCAAGUGGGUCCGGGCUGUAGCACUGGGCUAGCAGGACUCCGGUACUCAAAGCGUGACAUUUCCCCGAAGGGACAGACACAGGAACGAAGAAGGACACAUGCCGGCCAGCCUAAGUGUUCCAGAGCAGUAGCAAGCUACCAUGGCUCAGCGGUAACACUAGGAGACAUUUCCCGGUAAGAGAGGCUACUAAAGAUAAACAACUAGAUAGUCAGAUCCCACACAUACCAAGCAUUUCAAUCAUACACACACUAUGCUCGAUAUGUGCAAAUACAACGAAGCAUCACAACAUGACUCUACGACACAAGUACUUUAUUUAAGGCUCAGGGAGCCAUACAUAACAUACACAAAGGUACGGGUCUCACGACCCAACAUACAAGUCAUACAGUCAUACAAACCAGCAGCGGAAGUAACUUGUCUGAGUACAGACAACUAGUAAAAUAAAAGAGGCUUGGAAAGCCUAACUAUACUACGUGGUCCUUCACAAGCUCAGGGUCACCACCUGGGUCUUUAGCCUACUCGUUGAUGUCAACGUCUACAUAGAACCCAUCAGAAGGGGUUGCAACGUCUUCUGUAAAAAUGUAGAUUAUAGCAACAUGAGUACAAAGGUACUCAGCAAGACUUACAUCAGAUCCUACAUACAUGCAUAUUAUCAAGAAGGGUUGGUGGAGUUAUUGCAGCAAGCCAGCUUUGACUCUUGGCUAGACUAUCCUACGAUACUCCAACUUGAAAUGGUUUUGCGCACACGAGUCCACUACUCACCAAUUCAAUACACUACCGAGGAUCCACCUCCGUCUUCCUACGGAAGAGCCAUCCUCGGCACUCACACUUAUCUUGAGGCUUUUAGCAGUUUCCAUUUACUUGUCUAUGAACUGUAUAGGCAACCAAGUAGUCCUUUACCGCGGACGCGGCUAUUCGAAUAGAUUAUGAUAACCCUGCAGGGGUGUACUUCUUCAUACAUGUUUCCACCACUUAGCGUAUGCACACGACAUGUGCUCGGCAGACUUCAAGCGAAAGCCGACGUGGGUGUAGACCACGACCUACCUAAACACUUAAGCCUCUAGUCCAGGUUUAUCGCCCAUUCAGGUUCCAUCCGCAGGGAGUCCGGCCGAGGUUUCCCAUACGGCCCCGAACGAUGUGAACAGGGUUCCCGAGAUACCUAACGGGUAUUCGGUACACCGUGCCACGUACCUACCGCAUCACAGCCCACCCCUACGGUCAGCGCUGUCCACGGCCUCCAGUAGGCUACAAACACCAGAAACUACUUGCAACUCCUGGACAGAGAGCUAGGGUGAAUAAGAAGUCGAGCGGGGUCAUAUUUCAGGGCCCAAUGCAUGGUAGUAGCUGUAUCUUAAAUCACGCAUACAGAUCUCAGUGCUUAAGGUCGGCUUCAAUGAAACAACCCACCAUGUACUCCUACAUGGCCUCUCAUCGAUACCUUUACCAAAUCGUGUUCACCACACCACUCUCAUUACCGACAUAAACAUUUCACUCUAGCCCAUCACCCAGAUGAACCAGACCUGACACGACUCUAAGCAUAGCAGGCAUAGCAAGGUAGGAACAACACAUACAUAUGGCUCAAUCAACUCCUACACAUGCUAGUGGGUUUCAUCUAGUUACUGUGGCAAUGACAGGUCAUGCAGAGGAAAUGGGUUCAACUACCGUAGCACACAGCAGUUUGAAACGCGUUGUCUUAAUGCAGUAAAAGAGAGCAGGAGCGAGAACAUGGGAUUGUAUCGAUAUGAUCAAAUGGUUGGUUGCUUGCCUGAUGGUUCGAUGCACUGAUACGGUUCUUCGUUAGGGUAAUCACGGUACUCCUCGGAGGCAGAACCUGUCGCAAAGGACACGAUACACAACCAUCACCAAACAAUGUGCAACAAUAUGAUGCAUGCAUGAAACAUGGCAAUAUGAGUGUGUUGGGCUAAUGCAACUAAAACCAGAAGGGUUUGAGCAAAUUUGAAUCAAGGAUUCAAAUUUCAAAUUCAAACAUGGCCUUUUAAAGUGCUUUUCCUUGUUCUGUUUAAAACAUCAGUUUAACUUGUUUGAUCAUGCAUGAAAAUAGUACAGAUGGAUAGAUUGGAUUUUUCUGAUCAUUUUUCAUAUAUAAUUUGUCCAAUUUGGAGUUACAGAAUAAAAGUUAUGAAUUUUUGAAGUUUAAAUUAUAUUCUGGAAUUUCCUGAUUUAAAUUAAAUCCAGAAAAUCAAUUACUGCGUCAGCCUGACGUCAGUGUGACGUCAGCAGGUCAACGGAACAGGCCUGGGUCAAACCUGACAGUGGGUCCCGCAUGUCAGGGUGGUUAUUUUAAUUAAGAUUUAAUUAAAACUAAUCCUGUAUAAUUAACAGGGCUGGGCCCCACCUGUCAUUGACUCAGGGGAGUCAACCAGGGCCCACCCGUGGUCAAAGUCAAAGCCAGCGACGCCGGCGUUUAGCCGCCGGCGAGCCCGAUGCGGCGGCGGGAGUGGUUUUGGCCAUUUCGGCCACCAAAUGGGCCGCGGAAACCACCGGAGUGGAGCUGAGGACAAACCGCAGCUCUUGGCGGAGUCCGUUGGGGUCGGGGUGGCCGGAGUUAGCGCCGGCGGCGACUUUGGCGGCCACCGGGGCUCGGUCGAAGAUGAACUUGGCGCUAGAGGGGUCGGUGAGACUCGUGGAGUGGCUAGCUAGGUGUUGUGGGACUCGGUGAGUAAGAUGGACACCAUCUUGUGGCCGGAGUGUGGCCGGAAGCACGUCGGCGACGAGGUCCGCGACGGCGCGUGCGGGUGAGCUUGGUGUGCUCGCUGUGGUGCACGAGAGAGAGAAAGAGAGGAAGGGGAAGUUAGCCCAGCUCACUGCGGUCUUGAUGGAGAGGACGGCGUGGUCGGGGACGAGCUGCUGCGGCGGCGACGGCGAAGGGGAUCUCCGGCGAUGGCGGUUCGGGCGAGGUUGGUGCGGCGGCUUCGGGGCACGCGAGCGCUCGGGGCUCGACUAGCUCGAAGAAGUGGAGGACGGCGGAGCUUCUGGACACGGUGGCGCGGCGUGGAGACGAAGGGGAGCACGGCUACGGUGGAGGUGCGGCAACGGUGGCAUCGGCCAUGGCGUGGGAGCGCGAGGGAGAGGAACUGGGGGCGAAUGGAGGUGUCUAGGAGGGUCGGGGCGCGACGUGGAGCUCGUCCAGGCCAUCAGGGCGGCGAGAGGGGGAGGCAGGGCGGCGUGCAGCUGCGUGGCGAGCUGCGGUGCCGCCGCCGAGCACCUUGGCUGCCUGCCUGGCGAGCCAAGCAGCUCGCUGGAGCGGUGGCCGGGCUGGGCCGGCCAGGUGGGCUGGCUGGUGGGCCUGCGGUGGCGCCAGGUAAGUUUUCCCCUUUUUUUCUGUUUCUGUUUUUAUUUAAUAUAUCUGCAACUUUGUUGAAUUUAAUAAAAUACCUAGGCAACUUCAAAAAUCACCAAAUUACUCCUGGUCCAUAGUUGGAUUAUUUCCAACAUGAAACAUUUUAGUUUGGAGAUAUUUGAGCAUUUAAAUAUUUUAUAUAAUUUUAAAUGCCCAAAUUCAAAUAUUUAUGAUUUAAUUCAAAAACCCUAAGAUGGCCUUGGAAAAUGUGCACCACUUUUGGCAGAGGUUCUGAACCAAGACAAAAAUGAUGGGCAUUUUAGAAGGGCAUUUCAGGUUCAUUGAAAAUUAUUUUAGUAACCCUAGUUGGUUUCAGAGGGGACUGGGGGUUCUGUCAUCCCCAUUUCAAGUUUCUGAUGAAAGAGUAAACAUGAUGCAACACUCUAAUGCAUGACUAGCUAGGGUGUGACAACUCACCCCCACUCAAAAGAAUCUCGUCCCGAGAUUUGGGUUCCUCCGGGAAGAAGGCGGGAUACUCGAGUCGAAGACGAUCCUCCCUUUCCCAAGUUGCUUCAUCCUCAGAAUGGUGCGACCAUUGAACCUUGAGAAACUUGAUAUUAUGACGUCGAGUGGUACGUUCGGCCUGAUCGAGGAUACGAAUGGGGUACUCUCGAUAUGUAAGAUUAUCUUGGAGAUCAAGCGUUUCGUGGUCCACUCCACGGAUAGGAUCCGAGAAGCAACGCCUGAGUUGAGAAACGUGGAAGACAUCGUGGACCCUGGAGAGGUGCGGAGGUAGUUCCAACUGGUAGGCAACUUCCCCUCGUUUGGCGAGAAUGCGAAAAGGUCCAAUGUAACGAGGAGCCAAUUUGCCUUUGAUACCGAAACGAUGGGUUCCCUUCAGCGGGGUGACCCGAAGAUAAGCCUUCUCGUCAACCUCGAAAGUCAUAGCCUUAUGUUUUCGGUCAUAUUGACUCUUUUGACGAGAUUGAGCUGUUUUCAACUUUUCACGAACGAUACGAACUUGUUCUUCUGCUUCCUGAAUCAUAUCCGGGCCAAAGAAUUGUCUUUCCCCGGUCUCUGACCAGUUAAGGGGUGUUCGACACCGUCGUCCAUAGAGAACUUCAAAAGGGGCUUUACCCAAGCUAGAUUGAUAGCUGUUGUUGUAAGCGAAUUCGGCAAAUGGAAGGCACUUUUCCCAGUCCAUUCCGAAUGAGAUAACAGAGGCUCGAAGCAUGUCUUCUAGAAUCUGGUUGACGCGUUCCACUUGACCACUCGACUGAGGGUGGAAUGCGGUGCUAAAGGAGAGACGGGUUCCCAUAGCAUUUUGGAAACUUUCCCAAAAUCGAGAGGUGAAAAGACUUCCUCGAUCCGAGUUAAUUUCCAAAGGAACACCAUGGAGAGACACUAUUCGGGAGAUGUAUAAGUCUGCCAGCUGACUAGCGGUUAUACUCUCACGAACAGGUAGGAAAUGGGCUACUUUGGAAAGACGAUCGACAACGACAAAGAUAGCAUUAUUCCCUCUCUUGGUCCUGGGAAAACCGGUAAUGAAAUCCAUACCAAUUUUAUCCCAUUUCCAUUCAGGAAUAGCUAAGGGUUGAAGGGUGCCAGCAGGCCGUUGGUGCUCUGCUUUUACACGAUGACAGACGUCGCAAUUAGCAAUAUACUGAGCAAUUUCUCUCUUCAUCCUAGACCACCAGAACCUCUGGCGUAGGUCCUGAUACAUCUUAGUACUACCGGGAUGAAUAGUGAGAGGAGAUUCCUGAGCCUCCCUAAGGAUCAACUGCCGUAGAUGCUGGUUCUUGGGAACCACUAGACGGUUCUCAAAGUACACAACACCAUGACCAUUUGUGGAGAAACAACUAGCACCUCCGCUAGCAAUGUUCUCCUUGAUCUUAGCUAUUCCCUUAUCUCGCUUCUGGGCAGCAAUGAUUUGAUCCGUAAGAGUAGGUUUUGCCACCAAGGUGGAAAGAAAACCUUGAGGUACAAUGUGAAGGUUUAGCUUCCGAAAUUCCUCAUGGAGAAGCGGUUGACUUUGCUGUAACAUCAGGUUGUUACAAUAAGAUUUACGACUUAGCGCAUCAGCCAUGACGUUGGCUUUCCCUGGGGUGUAGGUUAUCCCUAAGUCGAAGUCUGUGAUCAACUCAACCCAACGUCUUUGCCUGAGAUUCAGAUCCGGUUGGGUGAAAAUGUACUUCAGACUUUGGUGAUCAGUGAAUAUUUCGCAAUGGUUACCGAGGAGGUAAUGCCGCCAGGUCUUAAGUGCAUAGACUACGGCUGCAAGCUCUAGAUCAUGAGUAGGAUAAUUCUCCUCAUGUGGGUGCAAUUGCCGUGAAGCGUAGGCAAUUACAUGUCGAUCUUGCAUAAGGAUGCAACCUAGUCCUUGUCGCGAGGCGUCGCAGUAGAUAACAAAGUAUUUGGAGAAGUCUGGCGGUACCAGUACGGGAGCAGAGGUCAGGCGUCUUUUCAGUUCCUGAAAGCUGUGCUCACAUUGUGGAGUCCAUUCGAACUUCUUAUCUUUCUUGAGGAGUUCGGUUAGAGGUUUAGCAAUUUUGGAGAAGUUUUCGACAAAGCGACGGCAAUAGCUCGCUAAGCCUAGAAAACUCCGAACUUGCUUGACCGAUUCAGGUGGAGUCCAAUUAAGGACGGCUUGAACUCGCUCAGGGUUAACAGCAAUACCUUUACCAGAUAUUACAUGACCCAGAUAGGUCACUUCUGACAACCAGAAUUCACAUUUAGAGAAUUUGGCAUAAAGGCGAUGCUCUCGAAGUUUCUGCAACACUAGCCUUAGAUGUUCGGCAUGUUCUUCCUCGUUCUUGGAGUAGAUGAGUAUAUCACCGAGGUAAACCACGACGAAUUUAUCCAAAUACUCCAUGAAGAUUGAGUUCAUUAACCGAGAAAAGGUGGCUGGAGCGUUGGUUAAUCCGAAGGACAUGACGGUGUACUCGUAUUGGCCAUAACGAGUAACAAAGGCCGUUUUAGGAAUGUCCCCGUUUCUGAUUUUGAUUUGAUGGUAGCCCAACCUCAAAUCCAUCUUGGAGAAGACUGAGGAUCCAGCGAGCUGAUCGUACAGGUCGUUGAUCCUGGGAAGUGGAUAUUUGUUCUUGAUUGUGACCAAAUUGACAGGUCGGUAAUGUACAACCAUCCGGUCCGUACCAUCCUUCUUCUUGACGAAUAGGACGGGGCAAGCCCACAGAGAGGAGCUAGGUCGGAUGAAACCCUUUUUCAAGGACUCAUCGAGUUGUUUCUUAAGCUCGGCUAGUUCUAAGGGUGCCAUCUUAUAAGGUCUUCUAGCAAUCGGAACGGUUCCUGGAAUGAGGUCUAUUACGAACUCAACAUCCCUGUCAGGUGGAACACCUGGCAAUUCUUCUGGGAAGACAUCCGGGAAGUCACAGACUACCGGCACGUCCUCAAGGUCUGGCAAAGGGCUGGCGUUAAGAGAAUAUAAUUGUCGCUUGGCUAUUCGGGUCAAGAUAUUGACUAUCUUCCCCGAAGGAUGGGUGAGUUGAACAGUCCUAGAGAAGCAAUCAAUUUUGGCUUGAUGAGCUGACAUCCAGUCCAUACCCAAAAUGAUAUUAAUAUCUGAAGAUUUAAGGGCUAUCAAAGACGCGAGGAAAACAAGUCUGUCGACUUGGAUUUCAUUUCCAUGGCUUACUCUAGAAGUUUGCCAUUUCGAUCCCGGAGUUUGAAUUACCAUAGAGGUUGGCAUAUCACCGAAUGCGACGUUAUGCAACCGAGCAUAGUUUUCAGAUAUAAAAGAAUGAGAGGCUCCUGUAUCGAAAAGAACAGAUGCCGGGUGGCAAUUAACAAGAAGCGUACCGAGAACGACGUUGGGAUCCUCUUGAGCUUCUUCGGCAGAGAUACAGUUGACAUGGCCACGUGAAGCGGUGACCGGCUUGGCGUGGAAUAUUUUUCCUGUCGGCUUGCCACGGCCAACAGCUUUAGCAGACUGGUUGGGGUUGGUCUGGGGGCACUCACGCAUAUAGUGACCAGAUUCCCCACACUUGAAACAAGUCACGGAGCUGGUACGUGGAGGAACAUUGUUGGUUGGACCCCCAUAGGGCUUGGCCGGUGCAAACUGUUGAACGGGGCGAGGCGCCUGGAAGGAUGGCCUCGGUGUGAACCUGGGUGGCAGGGCGGUGUUGGGUACCCACACGCGGCGCUUCUGAGGACCAGCACCGGAUGAGGAACCCAUAUCACGGCCAUGCUUGCAUGUUGCGUCAUAGUCAGUCUGACCAGUUUCAGCACUGAUGUCUUUAUUGACCAGUUUCUGAAAAGAUGUGCACUCAUGCAGACGGAGGUCACGACGAAGCUCAGGACUAAGUCCCUUACGGAACCUUGCUUGCUUCUUGGCAUCAGUAGACACUUCCUCAGUUGCAUAUCAUGCGAGAUUACCAAACUCCCUGCUGUAAGCAUCCACAGAAAGUCGUCCUUGGGUGAAACUGCAAAAUUCUUCACGUUUACGGUCCAUGAGACCCUCCGGAAUGUGAUGUUCACGGAAAGCCUCACUGAAUUCAGCCCAAGUAGUGACAUGGCCCGCCGGGCGCAUAGCUCCAUAAUUCUCCCACCAUAGACUGGCGGGGCCUUCAAGAUGAUAUGCAGCAAAGGUGACCUUGUCAGCCUCCGCUACCAGCGCGGAACGCAGUUUGUGAGAGAUACUGCGAAGCCAGUCAUCAGCGUCGAGAGGCUCGACGGAGUGGUGGAACGUGGGUGGAUGUAAUUUGAUAAAAUCACUGAGUGACACCACGUUAGUCCUCUGAUGGUGUGCUGUGUUCUGUUCAAUACGCUCUAACAAACGGUUGGUCUCCCGCUUGUUUCUCUCAGCUUCAAUCAUAACCUCGGCUAGUGAAGGAGGAUGAGGCAGAUUUGCAUCCCUGGCUUCACUGCCUUCGGCCUGCUCUUGAGAAGCAGGGUUAGCGCGCGUGUUGACCAUCCUAGGUAAACAAGACAAUGAUUUAGUCAGGAUGAUAAAAUUCCGACAUAGGGUAAAAAUGUAAGGAAUAACUCGAAAUGCAAGAUGAUCAUCCGUAUGACAUGGUAGAUACAGAAACUGCUUCUUUAUUCCAUCGUCAUACACACCAUACAGGGUUUAGUACAAGACCAAACAAAGUACUAUUACGGUGAAAAGAGGAUUACAUCUCAUCGGAGGCAUUCCAAGCUCCUAUACAUUAUUUUUCUACACCUCCGGAAGGAGUACAAACUAGGUCAUAUCCCACGAGUCACGCGGGACGAUAGACGACACAGCUAGUGCGAACUAGUGAUGCUACCACUAACUCAGACCGAUCCGUAGUAGUCCUCAUAGAAGUCACCUCCAUAGCCUGGAAGCUCAACAUGAUCAUCCGGAAACAGACGAUCUCGCGGAGCUUGUGGACCAUAGGGGCUAGGAUGAGGCCUUGGACCAACAGACGGUGGCCUGCGGGGACCGCGAGGUGGGGUGAUGCCUCCUACAUCACGCCAAACCAUCAUGUCUGGCAGAGCAGAUCUCACAGGAUAGAGAUCGCGCAUAUCUGAGAAUCCAGCUUGCACCGCCGGUGCGAACCGAGUCAAAGUGGCCGAGUGGUCAGCACGGGUAUUGAAGAGCUCUAACCUCAAGGCCCGAUUUUCACGGUCCUUAUCCUCGAGCAUCUCAGCAGUGGUGCGAGUCCGUGAAUCCUCCUGAGUGGGGUCAGCAUAGAUAGCCUGGAGAUACCCUUGUGCUCCCGGAAGUGAUCCUGGCAUAUACCGGAAAUCAGAGUCCCGAAAUAAACCAGAUCUGACUCGCAUAAUGGUCAUCAUAGAGUAGGCGGCGUCCUGCACAGCCAUCUCAAUAGUAACCCCGAGUCCAUAGGAGCAGUGAAGAGGCUCGGUGGAUCCAUGAUAAGAUGGAAAUAUCCUGACAGUGCAGAGAUACUGGCUUUGAUUAAAGUCUCGGAAUUGCUCUUCGACCGUGUACUCGGGAUACCAGCGGUAUCCAGCCUCAGUCAUUACCCUGACCAACUUGGCAGUAUGGCCGGGUACAUCUAGGCAUCGAGUCAGGCGAACCACUUGAUUGAGGUCGCGAGUGGCCAUCUGAAAGUACAAUCAUAAUGCAAGGGCAUUAUAAUUUCUAGCAAAAUUUCGGCAGCAUAACAGCUGUAAAUGCUCAAGAAGGAUUUUGAGACAUUUGACAAAGGAUUUCGUACACCUUCAACAUCAUCAUAGCAAAGUUCUGAAUCCAUUCUAACAACAUAAUGUGGUAGUAGAACUAAACUAGGCUUGUAUCCAACAAACUUAUAAGGUACUACUGAUUAGUAACACGUGAUCCUGAUAGAGAGAACAGAUCCUAAUUCCUUAACCCCCGGUGGAAGAAUGGACUGACUCAGAUCAGAAUGUCAUAAGAUAAAGGAGUAAAAAGAGCCUUACGAUCCAACCCACAAACAAUUCCCCUACAUAUAACUAAAGAAUUUCUAGACUCAACAUCGACCAGUUUGGCUUGGAGAACCUACAGGCAGUCCGGCUCUGAUGCCAACGCUGUCAGGACCCCGACUCGAUGUCACAUCGAUCUAGCCGGUAACACCUCAUAUCACUUUGCGGCCUCACGCACGGUAUCCCCACGGGUGUCGCCUUACCUCUACCCGGGACCGUUUGCGCCUUUUGGCUCACGUAUAUGAUGGUGUCGCUAGCAUCCAUAUGAUAAAGAGCCCGGGCUGACAUGACUAGUCGUAAACCCAAAGUGGCAUAGACUUACAGGGACAGGCAUCCAUGACCCAGCUUUGAACGUGUCGGUCAUCAGCAAGUGGGUCCGGGCUGUAGCACUGGGCUAGCAGGACUCCGGUAAACCGGGCUGUAGCGGGCUAACAGGACUCCGGUACUCAAAGCGUGACAUUUCCCCGAAGGGACAGACACAGGAACGAAGAAGGACACAUGCCGGCCAGCCUAAGUGUUCCAGAGCAGUAGCAAGCUACCAUGGCUCAGCGGUAACACUAGGAGACAUUUCCCGGUAAGAGAGGCUACUAAAGAUAAACAACUAGAUAGUCAGAUCCCACACAUACCAAGCAUUUCAAUCAUACACACAAUAUGCUCGAUAUGUGCAAAUACAACGAAGCAUCACAACAUGACUCUACGACACAAGUACAUUAUUUAAGGCUCAGGGAGCCAUACAUAACAUACACAAAGGUACGGGUCUCACGACCCAACAUACAAGUCAUACAGUCAUACAAACUAGCAGCGGAAGUAACUUGUCUGAGUACAGACAACUAGUAAAAUAAAAGAGGCUUGGAAAGCCUAACUAUACUACGUGGUCCUUCACAAGCUCAGGGUCACCACCUGGGUCUUUAGCCUACUCGUUGAUGUCAACGUCUACAUAGAACCCAUCAGAAGGGGUUGCAGCGUCUUCUGUAAAAAUGUAGAUUAUAGCAACAUGAGUACAAAGGUACUCAGCAAGACUUACAUCAGAUCCUACAUACAUGCAUAUUAUCAAGAAGGGUUGGUGGAGUUAUUGCAGCAAGCCAGCUUUGACUCUUGGCUAGACUAUCCUACGAUACUCCAACUUGAAAUGGUUUUGCGCACACGAGUCCACUACUCACCAAUUCAAUACACUACCGAGGAUCCACCUCCGUCUUCCUACGGAAGAGCCAUCCUCGGCACUCACACUUAUCUUGAGGCUUUUAGCAGUUUCCAUUUACUUGUCUAUGAACUGUAUAGGCAACCAAGUAGUCCUUUACCGCGGACGCGGCUAUUCGAAUAGAUUAUGAUAACCCUGCAGGGGUGUACUUCUUCAUACAUGUUUCCACCACUUAGCGUCUGCACACGACAUGUGCUCGGCAGACUUCAAGCGAAAGCCGACGUGGGUGUAGACCACGACCUACCUAAACACUUAAGCCUCUAGCCCAGGUUUAUCGCCUAUUCAGGUUCCGUCCGCAGGGAGUCCGGCCGAGGUUUCCCAUACGGCCCCGAACGAUGUGAACAGGGUUCCCGAGAUACCUAACGGGUAUUCGGUACACCGUGCCACGUACCUACCGCAUCACAGCCCACCCCUACGGUCAGCGCUGUCCACGGCCUCCAGUAGGCUACAAACACCAGAAACUACUUGCAACUCCUGGACAGAGAGCUAGGGUGAAUAAGAAGUCGAGCGGGGUCAUAUUUCAGGGCCCAAUGCAUGGUAGUAGCUGUAUCUUAAAUCACGCAUACAGAUCUCAGUGCUUAAGGUCGGCUUCAAUGAAACAACCCACCAUGUACUCCUACAUGGCCUCUCAUCGAUACCUUUACCAAAUCGUGUUCACCACACCACUCUCAUUACCGACAUAAUCAUUUCACUCUAGCCCAUCACCCAGAUGAACCAGACCUGACACGACUCUAAGCAUAGCAGGCAUAGCAAGGUAGGAGCAACACAUACAUAUGGCUCAAUCAACUCCUACACAUGCUAGUGGGUUUCAUCUAGUUACUGUGGCAAUGACAGGUCAUGCAGAGGAAAUGGGUUCAACUACCGUAGCACACAGCAGUUUGAAUCGCGUUGUCUUAAUGCAGUAAAAGAGAGCAGGAGCGAGAACAUGGGAUUGUAUCGAUAUGAUCAAAUGGUUGGUUGCUUGCCUGAUGGUUCGAUGCACGGAUACGGUUCUUCGUUAGGGUAAUCACGGUACUCCUCGGGGACAGAACCUGUCGCAAAGGGCAUCGAUACACAAGCAUCACCAAACAAUGUGCAACAAUAUGAUGCAUGCAUGAAACAUGGCAAUAUGAGUGUAUUGGGCUAAUGCAACUAAAGGCAGAAGGGUUUGAACAAAUUUGAAUCAAAGAUUCAAAUUCCAAAUUCAGAUAUGGCCUUUUAAAGUGCCUUUUCUUGUUCUGCUUAAAACAUCAAGUUAACUUGUUUGAUCAUGCAUGGAAAUAGUACAGAUGGAUAGAUUGGAUUUUUCUGAUCAUUUUUCAUAUAUAAUUUGUCCAAUUUGGAGUUACAGCAUAAAAGUUAUGAAUUUUUGAAGUUUAAUUAAUAUUCUGGAAUUUCCUGAUUUAAUUUAAAUCCAGAAAUUCAAUUACUGCGUCAGCCUGACGUCACAGUGACGUCAGCAGGUCAACAGGGCUGGCUCGGGUCAAACCUGACGUGUGGGGUCCACACGUCAGUGACAGGGGGGGUUAAACAGAUUUAAAUUAAUUCUAAUUACUAAUUAGUGGCGCUGGGGCCCACUGUCAGUGUCAGGGGGGGUUGACUAACAGUAGUUAGCGCUAACCUAACCAUCUGGCCGACAGGGCCCACGCGUCAGUGACCCUGGGGGGUCAAACCCCAGGUCGGUCAAGUCAAACCCCACCGGCGACAUGACGCCGGCGAGAUCCGAGACGGCGGCGAGAGUGCUUUUUGCCAUUCCGGCGACCAAAUGGACGGCGGAAGGCAUCUACGUGUUGCUGAGGUUGAGCCGCGUCUAUUGGUGGUGGUGGUUGGGCUCGGGGUGGCCGGAGUUGACGGCGGCGAGCUCGGCUGCGGCGGCCGGAGUUCGGGUGCGGUCGGGAUCAGUGUUGCAGGGGGUUUGGGGAGGUGUUGGUGCGUUCUACGUGCUCCUGGUGAUGUGUGGAGCACGAUGGUGUGCUCGGUUGGGCGCUACGGCGACCGUGGCCACGACGGCGACAUCGCCGGCGGCGUGGAGCUCUCCUUCCUCUCCCUCGCUCUCUCUCUCACACGGCCGAACACCACCGUCGCCACCGUUCGCCGUAGCGGUCGUCUCCGACCACCCCUCGCUCCCCCGACUAGCUCAGAAGCUCCGCCACAACUCCCUCUUCCUCCCCACCGCUCCACGGGUCUCCGGAAGCCCUGCAUCGCCGCCACGUCGCCGUUCCCCUCUUCGGACUCCGACCACCGUCGCCGUCAAAUUCGUCGUCUCCGGCGCGUCCCCGAGCCCGCUUCGACGCCCACUGCAACCGCGGUGAGCCCCCGGAGCGUUUCCCCCUUCUUCCCUGGUCUCUCCCGACCUCUAGGCCCUAGCUCCACCUCGACCGAGAGCUCCACGCCGCCGGCGAUGUCGCCGUCGUGGCCACGGUCGCCGUAGCGCCCAACCGAGCACACCAUCGCUUACACGCUCUCACCACUUACCGUCGCUUACACGACAUGUACUCGGCAACCUUCAAGCGGAAGCCCAACGUGGGUGUCGGCCACGACCUACCUAAUCACCUAAGCCUCCAGUCCAGGUUUAUCGCCUAUUCAGGUUCCAUCCGCAGGGAGUCCGGCCGAGGUUUCCCAUACGGCCCCGAACGAUGUGAACAGGGUUCCCGAGAUACCUAACGGGUAUUCGGUACACCGUGCCACGUACCUACCGCAUCACAGCCCACCCCUACGGUCAGCGCUGUCCACGGCCUCCAGUAGGCUACAAACACCAGAAACUACUUGCAACUCCUGGACGGAGAACUAGGGUGAAUAAGAAGCCGAGAGGGUCCAUUGGUUUCGGGCCCAAUGCAUGGUAGUAGCUGAUUCUUAAAUCACACAUACAGAUCUCAGUGCUUAAGGUCGGCUUCAAUGAAACAACCCACCAUGUACUCCUACAUGGCCUCUCAUCGAUACCUUUACCAAAUCGUGUUCACCACACCACUCUCAUUACCGACAUAAACAUUUCACUCUAGCCCAUCACCCAGAUGAACCAUACCUGACACGACUCUAAGCAUAGCAGGCAUAGCAAGGUAGGAACAACACAUACAUAUGGCUCAAUCAACUCCUACACAUGCUAGUGGGUUUCAUCUAGUUACUGUGGCAAUGACAGGUCAUGCAGAGGAAAUGGGUUCAACUACCGUAGCACACAGCAGUUUGAAACGCGUUGUCUUAAUGCAGUAAAAGAGAGCAGGAGCGAGAACAUGGGAUUGUAUCGAUAUGAUCAAAUGGUUGGUUGCUUGCCUGAUGGUUCGAUGCACUGAUACGGUUCUUCGUUAGGGUAAUCACGGUACUCCUCGGAGGCAGAACCUGUCGCAAAGGACACCGAUACACAACCAUCACCAAACAAUGUGCAACAAUAUGAUGCAUGCAUGAAACAUGGCAAUAUGAGUGUGUUGGGCUAAUGCAACUAAAACCAGAAGGGUUUGAGCAAAUUUGAAUCAAGGAUUCAAAUUUCAAAUUCAAACAUGGCCUUUUAAAGUGCUUUUCCUUGUUCUGUUUAAAACAUCAGUUUAACUUGUUUGAUCAUGCAUGAAAAUAGUACAGAUGGAUAGAUUGGAUUUUUCUGAUCAUUUUUCAUAUAUAAUUUGUCCAAUUUGGAGUUACAGAAUAAAAGUUAUGAAUUUUUGAAGUUUAAAUUAUAUUCUGGAAUUUCCUGAUUUAAAUUAAAUCCAGAAAAUCAAUUACUGCGUCAGCCUGACGUCAGUGUGACGUCAGCAGGUCAAUGGAACAGGUCUGGGUCAAACCUGACAGUGGGUCCCGCAUGUCAGGGUGGUUAUUUUAAUUAAGAUUUAAUUAAAACUAAUCCUGUAUAAUUAACAGGGCUGGGCCCCACCUUUCAUUGACUCAGGGGAGUCAACCAGGGCCCACCCGUGGUCAAAGUCAAAGCCAGCGACGCCGGCGUUUAGCCGCCGGCGAGCCCGACGCGGCGGCGGGAGUGGUUUUGGCCAUUUCGGCCACCAAAUGGGCCGCGGAGACCACCGGAGUGGAGCUGAGGACAAACCGCAGCUCUUGGCGGAGUCCGUUGGGGUCGGGGUGGCCGGAGUUAGCGCCGGCGGCGACUUUGGCGGCCACCGGGGCUCGGUCGAAGAUGAACGUGGCGCUAGAGGGGUCGGUGAGACUCGUGGAGUGGCUAGCUAGGUGUUGUGGGACUCGGUGAGUAAGAUGGACACCAUCUUGUGGCCGGAGUGUGGCCGGAAGCACGUCGGCGACGAGGUCCGCGAUGGCGCGUGCGGGUGAGCUUGGUGUGCUCGCUGUGGUGCACGAGAGAGAGAAAGAGAGGAAGGGGAAGUUAGCCCAGCUCACUGCGGUCUUGAUGGAGAGGACGGCGUGGUCGGGGACGAGCUGCUGCGGCGGCGACGGCGAAGGGGAUCUCCGGCGAUGGCGGUUCGGGCGAGGUUGGUGCGGCGGCUUCGGGGCACGCGAGCGCUCGGGGCUCGACUAGCUCGAAGAAGUGGAGGACGGCGGAGCUUCUGGACACGGUGGCGCGGCGUGGAGACGAAGGGGAGCACGGCUACGGCGGAGGUGCGGCGACGGUGGCGUCGGCCAUGGCGUGGGAGCGCGAGGGAGUGGAACUGGGGGCGAAUGGAGGUGUCCAGGAGGGUCGGAGCGCGACGUGGAGCUCGUCCAGGCCAUCAGGGCGGCGAGAGGGGGAGGCAGGGCGGCGUGCAGCUGCGUGGCGAGCUGCGGUGCCGCCGCCGAGCACCUUGGCUGCCUGCCUGGCGAGCCAAGCAGCUCGCUGGAGCGGUGGCCGGGCUGGGCCGGCCAGGUGGGCUGGCUGGUGGGCCUGCGGUGGCGCCAGGUAAGUUUUCCCCUUUUUUCUGUUUCUGUUUUUAUUUAAUAUAUCUGCAACUUUGUUGAAUUUAAUAAAAUACCUAGGCAACUUCAAAAAUCACCAAAUUACUCCUGGUCCAUAGUUGGAUUAUUUCCAACAUGAAACAUUUUAGUUUGGAGAUAUUUGAGCAUUUAAAUAUUUUAUAUAAUUUUAAAUGCCCAAAUUCAAAUAUUUAUGAUUUAAUUCAAAAACCCUAAGAUGGCCUAGGAAAAUGUGCACCACUUUUGGCAGAGGUUCUGAACCAAGACAAAAAUGAUGGGCAUUUUAGAAGGGCAUUUCAGGUUCAUUGAAAAUUAUUUUAGUAACCCUAGUUGGUUUCAGAGGGGAGUGGGGGUUCUGUCAUCCCCAUUUCAAGUUUCUGAUGAAAGAGUAAACAUGAUGCAACACUCUAAUGCAUGACUAGCUAGGGUGUGACAGAGAGGGAAAAUAAGUCCAAUGUAUUUUGGAAGGAUCCACUUGGGAAAAAUUUCUUAAUAUUAAAAGAAAAGUUUUGAAAUCAACAGAGAUAUAAUGCAUGCAAAAAUUUUAAACUCUUGGCAAAAUUUUAAUAACUAAAACCUGGUUAAAUUUUUGGGGUGUUACACAAAGCCGAUUCACAUCCACCCGACCAACCCCAGUGCUACUCCGACUCAUAUCUCAACAACACUCGACUCCAAAUAGGAAGAAGCGCUCAUCCAGUUCCUCCGUCAGAACUGGGACAUCUUCGCAUGGAAGCCCGCUGACAUGCCGGGUGUUCCCAGGGGGCUGUCUGAGCAUCGCCUACGAGUCGACUCAAAGGUGAAACCUGUCAAGGAACAUCUUAGACGGUCUGCCAUCCAGAAGAGAAAAGCCAUUAGCGAGGAGGUAGCUCGGCUCUUAGCAGUAGAGUUUAUCCGAGAGAUUUACCACUCCGAGUGGCUCGCCAAUGUUGUCAUGGUCCCCAAGAAGGACAAGUCACUUCGCAUGUGCAUUGAUUUCAAACAUAUCAAUCGGUCCUGCCAGAAAGAUCAUUUUCCUCUCCCCUGCAUCGACCAAAUAGUCGACUCGACUGUGGGAUGUGAGCGCCUGUCUUUUUUAGACGCCUAUUCCGGUUAUCAUCAGAUCCAUCUGUAUGGACCCGACGAGAUCAAAACAGCUUUUAUCACCCCAUUCGGAUGCUUAUGCUAUGUCACCAUGCCAUUCGGCCUCAAGAAUGCCGGAGCCACGUUCAUGAGAAUGAUUCAGAAGUGUUUGCUCACUCAAAUCAGUCGGAACGUGGAAGCAUACAUGGAUGAUAUUAUUGUCAAAUCACGGAAGGGUUCCGACCUAUUGACUGACCUCGCUAAAACAUUCGCCAAUCUCAGGAGGUAUGAUAUCAAGCUUAAUCCAUCAAAGUGCACAUUCGGAGUUCCUGGCAGAAAGUUACUCGGUUUUCUCGUUUCCGAACGAGGAAUCGACGCCAACCCGGAAAAGGUUGGUACUAUACUCUGAAUGAAACGCCCCGUGCGUGUGCACGAUGUCCAUAAACUUACUGGAUGCUUGGCCGCGUUAAGUCGAUUCAUCUCUCGCCUCGGUGAAAAGGCAUUGCCUCUUUACCGACUGAUGAAGAAGUCAGACAAGUUCCAGUGGACUCCAGAAGCUGAUGCAGCGUUUGCAGAACUUAAAGCUCUGCUCUCCCCCCAGCCGGUGCUUGCUGCCCCAGUCAGCAAAGAGCCCCUGUUGCUUUACAUUGCAGCUACAUGACAAGUCAUCAGUACAGUUCAUACGGUCGAGCGGGAAGAAGAAGGGAAAGCCUUCAAAGUUCAGCGCCCAGUAUAUUAUCUUUCCGAAGUAUUGACCCCAUCGAAGCAAAGAUACCCUCAUUAUCAGAAGCUUGUAUAUGGGAUUUACAUGACCACGAAGAAGGUUGCUCACUAUUUCUCUGAUCAUUCCAUUACAGUCGUCAGCGAUACCCCAUCAUCAGAAAUUUUGCACAACAGAGAUGCAACUGGUCGAUUGGCAAAGUGGGCGAUUGAACUCAUUCCCCUUGAUAUCGAGUUUGAGGCAAAGAAAGCCAUUAAGUCCCAAGCAGUAGCAGAUUUCAUCGCCGAGUGGAUUGAACAACAACUGCCAACUCAAGUUCACUCGGAGCACUGGACCAUGUUCUUUGACGGUUCUAAGACGUUGAAUGCUUCCGGUGCUGGGGUAGUAUUGGUUUCCCCCGAAGAGAUAAGCUCAAAUAUGUGCUCCAGAUCCACUUUAAUUCCUCCAACAAUGAAGCAGAAUACGAAGCACUUUUGUACGGGUUGCGCAUGACCAUUUCACUCGGCGUCCGUCGCCUUAUGGUUUAUGGCGAUUCAGAUUUGGUGGUCAAUCAGGUGAUGAAGGAGUGGGACGCUAGAAGCCCAGCCAUGACUGGUUACUACAAUGCGGUCAGGAAGCUGGAGAAGACAUUUGAAGGGUUAGAGCUCCAUCAUAUACCCCGACUGAAGAAUCAAGUAGCUGAUGAUUUGGCGAAGAUAGGUUCCAAGAGAGAAGCCAUUCCCAGUGAUGUGUUCUUGGAACAUAUCCAUACUCCAUUAGUUCAGGAAGAUCCUUCUACCGAAGAAGCUCCGCAGCCAAAAAGUGUCACAGAUCCGACUGAAGUAGAAGUUCCAGCAGUGGUUGACCUGAUCAUGGAAGCAUUGGUCAUCACUCCCGACUGGACAGUGAUGUACAUCGCGUAUAUAUUAAGGAAAGAGCUCCCAGAGUAUGAAGAAGAGGCUCGACAGAUCGUCCGCUGAUCCAAAGCCUUUACCGUGAUAAAGGGACAGUUGUACAGGAAGAGCGCGACUGGAGUCGGUCAGAAAUGUAUAACACCAGAAGAAGGUCGGAUCAUCCUUGACGAUAUCCACUCGGGAACCUGUGGCCAUCAUGCGUCUUCUCGGACCAUUGUGGCUAAAGCAUACCGAGCGGGAUUUUACUGGCCGAGAGCAAAUGAAAUGGCAAAGGAGAUAGUCGACAAGUGCGAAGGAUGUCAAUUUUACUCCAAUAUGUCACACAAGCCCGCCUCAGCCUUGAAGACUAUCCCACUCGUCUGGCCGUUCGCUGUAUGGGGAUUGGAUAUAAUUGGACCACUAAGAACAGGAAGAAGCGGUUUCACCCAUGUGCUGGUGGUAGUCGACAAGUUCACUAAGUGGAUUCAAGCUAAACCCAUCAAGAAUCUUGAUGCCGGCACUGCUGUCAGCUUCAUCAGGGAGUUGGUAUUCAGAUACGGAGUUCCCCAUAGCAUCAUCACUGAUAAUGGGUCGAACUUCGAUUCCGAAGAAUUUAGAGCCUUCUGCACGUCUCAGGGCACACGAGUCGACUAUGCUUCAGUCGCUCACCCCUAGUCGAAUGGGCAGGCGGAACGAGCAAAUGGUUUAUUUCUCAAAGGACUGAAACCCCGACUGAUUCGCGACCUCAAGCACGCAGCUGGCGCAUGGGUCGAUGAACCUCCGUCAGUACUUUGGGGAUUAAGGACCACACCUAAUCGAUCGACUGGGAGAACUCCGUUCUUCUUAGUUUAUGGAGCUGAAGCAGUCCUGCCGAGUGACCUGCUUCACAACGCACCUCGGGUCAAACUCUACACUGAAGCUGAAGCAGAAUAAGCCCGACAGGACGUAGUCGACUUUCUAGAAGAAGAAACAGAGAUGGCCUUGAUCCGAUCGACCAUUUAUCAGCAGGACUUGCGUCGAUUCCAUGCCAAAAACGUGAAGAGUCGAGCCUUCCAAGAGGGAGACUUGGUUCUCCGAGUGGAUCAGCAUAAGCCACACAAGCUUGCUCCUACUUGGGAAGGUCCCUUCAUCGUCACCAAAGUUCUCCACAAUGGGGCGUACCGCCUUUACAAUGUCGAGCACCAGAUUGACGAGCCCCGAGCGUGGAACGCGGAGCUACUCCGCCCCUUUUAUACUUAAGUAUUCACUCGGAUGAGUUGUAAUAAAAGUACUUCUGUAGUUUAUUUAUCAAAGACAAGCAUUUUAUAAUUUUCCCAGUGAUUGUUGUUACUUUUCUCCACAUAAAGCAUUCCCCCAGUGGGUGGCUUAGCUGCGAAUCCGUUUCGCCUAAGUUUGUAAAAAAAAUCCUUACAGAGUGGUGAGCCAGCCUCCUACUCAGAGGCUUAGCUGCGAAUCCGUUUCACCUAAGUUUAAACAAAACCUUACCGAGUGGUGAGCCAGCCUCCCACUCGGAGGCUUAGCUGCGAAUCCGUUUCGCCUAAGUUUAAACAAAUUCCUUACCGAGUGGUGUGCCAGCCUCCCACUCGGAGGCUUAGCUGCGAAUCCGUUUUGCCUAAGUUUAAACAAAAUCCUUACCGAGUGGUGAGCCAGCCUCCCACUCGGAGGCUUAGCUGCGAAUACAUUUCGCCUAAGUUUAAACAAAAUCCUACCGAGUGGUAAGCCAGCCUUCCACUCGGAGGCUUAGCUACGAAUCCGUUUCGCCUAAGUUUAAACAAAAUCCUACCAAGUGGUAAGCCAGCCUUCCACUCGGAGGCUUAGCUGCAAUCCAAGUACUCGCCUAAGUUUAAACAAAAUCCUACCGAGUGUUAAGCCAGCCUUCCACUCGGAGGCUUAGAUGCAGUCCAAGUACUCGCCUAAGUUUAAACAAAAUCCUACCGAGUGCUGAGCCAGUCUUCCACUCGGGGGCUUAGCUGCAGCCUAGUGUUCGCCUAAGUACAAAUACAACAUGCGCUCUGCAAGGAGGACAAAGCGCAGGUCGACUGCUUCCUUCUCCUUCCGAGCUACGCCACAAAUACAACGUGCGACCCGCAUGGAGGACGAAGCGCAGGUCGAGUGUUGCCUUCUCCUUCGGAAGUACGCCACAAAAAUCCUACCGAGUGGAGAGCAAACCUCCCACUCGGGGGCUUAGCUACAGCCCAGUGCUCGCCUAAGUUUUUGAAAAUCCUACCGAGUGGAGGAGCAAACCUCCCACUCGGGGGCUUAGCUGCAGCCCAGUGCUCGCCUAAGUUUUUGAAAAUCCUACCGAGUGGAGAGCAAACCUCCCACUAGGGGGCUUAGCUGCAGCCCAGUGCUCGCCUAAGUUUUUGAAAAUCCUACCGAGUGGAGAGCAAACCUUCCACUCGGGGGCUUAGCUGCAGCCCAGUGCUCGCCUAAGUUUUUUGAAAAUCCUACCGAGUGGAGAGCAAAUCUCCCACUCGGGGGCUUAGCUGCAGCCCAGUGCUCGCCUAAGUUUAUGAAAAUCCUGCCGAGUGGAGAGCAAACCUCACACUCGGAGGCUUAGCUGCAGUCCAGUGCUCACCUAAGUUUUUUGAAAAUCUUACCGAGUGGAGAGCAAACCUCCCACUCGGGAGGCUUAGCUGCAGCCCAGUGCUCGCAUAAGCAUGACGAGGUACAUGUCGAUUGCAAUUUGUGCUUCGUCCCUACCUGCAAAAAUGCAUCACAAACACUAGUAUAUAUUCCGAGCGAAGGACAAUGAUCGUUCGAAGGCAAAUGCAAACAUAUUCAACAGCAAACCCAAGUUCAGAUAGCGUCCUACGGAUCCAGAAGUGCUCAGGCACCAAGCCUGUUAAAGUUUAUCGGUUACAAAAACCACUCGGCAUUCCGAGGGAAAUUUAAGGCAUCAAGCAUAGAAGUUUUUUACUCCUCCUGCAGAGGACUGGAAGGCGCAACGAACUCGUCCAGGUCGAUUCCAUCUGUGAUCCGAGUGGCAGCAGCAAUGAAGGUCUCCAUGAAAGAUCGGAAGUCAUACUUCUUGGUAUUGGCCACCUUAAGAAACGCCAGCUUGUCUUCUCGCGCGUCCUUGCAGUGAACACGGACCAGAGACAAAGCAACGUCGGCACCACACCUGGCAGAAGACUUCUUCCAUUCUUGCACUCGACUUGGAACUUCGUUCAGUCGAGUCAUCAGAGACUUGAGGUCGUUCUGAAGUGUUUCUCCUAGCCAGAGUGAUGUGUCGAUGCGCGAUGUUGCAACCUUCAGUCUCGCAAGAUAGUCGACCACAGCAGCAACGCGAGACUCGAGACGGAACACGUUCAUGGCGGCUUCAUCCUUGACAGGAGAGUUGAUGGGAUCCAAGCCAGUGUCCACUCGACUAGUCUCCUCUUCAAAGUUUUGGCAGAAUUCUGUGGAUACGAUCCGAGGAUGAGCUAACAAUCCUACAAUAAGUCAAUGAUUGCAAGUCAGUCGGAUAUAAGGGGUUACCUUCGAGCAUGAGGAAUAACUUCUUGGCGAACCCUCCCAGAUAAGCCUCUAAGUCGUUCUUCUUGUCACUCAGGGCUAUCUUGUCAUUCUUCAGUCGGCUGACCUCCUUGUUGGCCGCGUCAAGAGCAGCUUUCAGAUUGGUAUUCUCAUCUUCAAGUUUGCUGAUUGAAGCCAACUUUUCUUCUGUGAGUUUCGUCUUGUCCGAAGCCGCUUUCUGCGCCUCGGCGAGGUCAAGGUCCUUCUUCUUCAGAACAUCCUUCAGUUUAUCUGCAAAAUGACAGUGAGAUCAGACUCAGGAAUGGACAAAAAAUAAGGGCAGUCGUCAAGGUUCUCACAAAAUAUACCUUUUGCCUCCUCCUUCGCCUUUGUGAAGUUCUCCUGGACAAGCUUCAGAUCAAGUUCGAGCUGGAUAUGCUUGUUCUCCAACUCAGUAUAACGAGCCACAAGCUCGCAAGAUUUCUGCGAAAGAUCAGUCGACAGACAUCAAAGAUAGGUCACUUCCGAGUGACUAAGAGAAAAAUCAUAGCAUUUCUAAGACUACGGCCGAAUCAAAAUAUUCAACUGUAGUCUCAGGGACUACAUCCAGUGGGUGCACUCAGCGUGCCCCCACUGGUUCUACCGGCUCGGAUCAAUCAGUCGACCGAAAGAGACAAAAAGGUUAUGAUCAUAAAUCAGAGCUAACUGCCAAUAGUUAGACACAGUUUCAAAAAUAAGAGAGAGGGCGAAGUAUUCUUCAGACCAUAGCCGACUACCAGCAGUCGACCACGGUCUCGGGGACUACACCCAGUGGGUGCACUCAGCGUGCCCCCACUGGUUCCAUGAUUCCAUUCGACCAGAUCGAGUGAAGAAAGUAAAAGAGAAAAAAGUUCAAGACAUAAAGACUACAGUCGACUGUCAGCAGUCCAUCGUAGUCUCGGGGACUACACCCAGUGGGUGCACUCAGCGUGCCCCCACUAAUCCAGACAUUUCAAUCGACACACCCAGUGGGUGUAUGACAAAUACUAAGAUUUUCAAAAAGAAAAAUUGUCAGGUAUCAUAUCCUAACAGAACAGGCGGUGGUCAACUAACCUGGACAUUGCUCUGAAGAGCUGAACUUGCAUCAUAAGCUGCUUGGCUGGCGUCUCGGAUUGCCUUCACCUGCUCCAUCAUGACCCCCGCCUGGCGUAUGGCUUCCUUGGCAGCACCUGCUUGGUCCUCUGGGACGUGGUGUGUGGAGAAGAGGGAAGGUGGAUCAGCACUCGACGACGGAGGGCAGGCACUCGUCAACGGCACCGCAAAGGACACGGUAGGCCGAACAAUGUUGCCUCCCUCCGGAACCAAUGUUUCAGGUGCUGACGCAACCUGAGCAGUCUUGCCAGCAGAAGCUUUCCUGUUCCUCCUUUGCCUCAGUGGCUCCUCAUCAUCAUCGUCAGGGAGAUCAAUGAUAAUGCUAGGUGGAGCUACAGAAAAGGUUCAAAGUUAAAAAUGAAGAUCCGAUCGACCGAAGGUGAAACUGCACAGAUCAUACCAGGAUUGGAAGUGGCAGCAUCCUCCAUUUCUUGAUCUUCAUUCCUGGCUGAGGUCUCCGAAGUAGCAGCACUGCGAUUUCAGAAAUCAGUCGGUCAGUGAUCGGGUCGACCAAGAAUAUAUCCAUGUUGAAAGAGAAAACAUGAGUUAUGCCAUUACCCAGAAACAGUCGGAAUCUCCAUCCUCAUCUUUGGUAGGGCCUUCUCCGGUUUUGACGGUGCCGCUCGGGGUUGCUUCGACGCUUUCUUAGUCGGCGCCGAAGAAGUCGUCCGAGGGCGUUUGGUCGACUGCCCAGCGGGCACGGCUCCCUUGCCACGCUCGACUGCAGGAUCAUGGGCGAGCUUGGACCGUCUUUCAGUAUGACGAGGCUCGACUACCUCCUCCUCUUCAUCCUCCUCUUCCUCAUCAGAGCCAGCAUCUUCUCCACCCUCGUCGCCGUCCGAUUCCCACUCCUCCUGGCUUUCACCUCCACUUCCUUCUUCUUCUUCGGUCCGUUCUUGCGCCCCGUUGGACAUCGAGUACAACUCGGUAGUGAUCGGGAAGACAACAAACAAGACAAAAGUCAGUCGACCGAAUUGCAGCAAAGCGGAAUGAAGAAAACAGAGUCACAGUCAGAGAAAUGUGGUCAGACCUUGUCUGGUUCGUAGGACUGGUCGAGUGGCGGGAUCCUCCUGGCUCCACGAGGAUUAUCUUUGUUCCCUGUGAUGGCGGUCAUCCACCUCUCUAGAGUGGCAUCGUUGACCUCCUUCGGGUCGACCCGAGUGGUGUCUUCAGUACCAGAGUACAACCACAUCGGAUGGCCCCGAUAUUGAAGUGGCUGAAUGCGCCGUCGAAGGAAAACCUCUAGAAGAUCCAUGCCCGUCACUCCGUCGCGAAUGAGCUGGACCACGCGCUCCACCAACAUCCUAACUUGAGCCUUCUCCUCCGGAAGCACCUUUAGAGAAGAUGACUUGUUCACUCGGUCCAUAGAGAACGGGGGGAGGCCAGUCGACUGCCCGGGCGUCGACUGGUCUUGGCAGUAGAACCAGGUCGACUGCCACCCUCGAACUGACUCGGGAAGGGUCAUGGCUGGAAAGGCACUCUUACUCCUCAUCUGAACUCCAAGACCCCCACACAUCUGGAUUACUUGGGUUCUCUCGUCACUCGGGCUAGCCUUUUUCACCGUCUGAGAGCGACAGGUGAAAGUGUGUUUGAAAAGGCCCCAGUGCGGCCGACAACCCAAAAAGUUUUCGCACAAAGACACGAAAGAGGCGAGGUAGGCGAUGGAGUUGGGUGUGAAGUGAUGGAGUUGUGCCCCAAAGAAGUUCAGAAACCCCCGAAAGAAAAGAUUCGGCGGCAGAGAAAAAACGCGAUCUACAUGGGUGGCUAAGAGGACGCACUCACCCUCUUGAGGUUGUGGCUGCCACUCCUUCCCUGGAAGCCUUGCUGACCCAUGGGGGAUCAGUCCUUCGUUGGCUAGGUCGUCGAGGUCCUUCUGGGUGAUGGUCGAGCGGAUCCAGUCUCCUUGGAUCCAGCCCUGCGGCAGGCCGAACCGCGACGAGGAUCCGCUCUGACUAGUCGCUCUCCCCUUCGCCUUCGCCGUCUCCUUCUUCGCCCGCUCCAAAGCCGCCGUCUUUUCCUUCACCAUCGUCGCCGGCGAGGUGCGCAAGGAGCAGCAGGGCGAAGGUGGAAGCGAGCGCAGCGGGCGAGUUCGAGGAAGAGGGAGAGGGGAAUGAGGGCGCACUAUUCGAAAAACCCCCGUCCGGCGCCUUAUAUGAAGUCUCUUCUGAGUUGCUGACUGGUAGGCUCGGACGAUCCCGUCGAAUCCCGCAACAGGCGCGCGCGAUACGUGGCGAAAAAGAUGGCGCGGAGAUCGAGGCGUCUUUUCCUUAUCCCAUCCGAGUACCGCGGCCUCCUCCGCUUCGCGCGCUUCCCGAAAUUCGGAUCCCGUCAAAUCCGCGAAUAGCAAAGCAACUUGUCAGACAACAGAUUUCCUCCGAUCCGUCGCCCGAAAAUCUCCAAGUUUGUAAAGUUCACUCGGCAGAUGCAAAGAAUGGAUCAAGGCGACUGAAAGGGAAGUUGACACCAUCAAUAAAAAGUCAUUGGUCCAGAGUAAGACACUCUCGCAGCACGAAAAGCAGGUCGGAAGAAUUCUCAACUCCUUCCUCACUCAAAUCUCGAUCCAUUCGGGGGCUAAUGAUGAAGCCAUGUACCUAGGGUAGGGUCAUGGACCUGUCCAAGGUACCCUCCCCAAGGACAUAUCCAGAAGAAACUGUCUUUCAGUCGACCUGGAAGGAUUCCACUCGACGGACUCGAAGACACUCGACCAUGAAGACUCACUCGACCACCAGGAGAUCUAGGGUCACUCUGCAUCCAAACGGUCUAUUAUUAAGUAGUCUUUAUGGCCAUGAUAUCACUUUAUGUAAGACGUUACCAGUAAUGCCAGGCCUUUAUGUACAUUGAACCCUCCGCUACGUGGGCUGGCUGGGGUCCUGACGCACUCUAUAUAAGCCACCCCCUCCACAGGCAGAAGGGUUCGCACCUCUGUAACUCAUACACAUAUAAUCCAGUCGACCGCCUCCGGGCUACGAGACGUAGGGCUGUUACUUCCUCCGAGAAGGGCCCGAACUCGUAACUCCCUUGCGUAUACAACUACUCCAUAGCUAGGAUCUUGCCUCUCCAUACCUACCCCUACUCUACUGUCAGGCUUAGAACCACGACACAUGCAACAUUCCCAACAGGUAGCGACAAGGUCACCACCAGCACCGUGGGUGAAGAGGACAUACCUAAUGACUCUCUUUUUAUCGUGGAAUAUUUUUGCAUUUAGUAGCGCAAUUGCAGAGAACAAGCCAGCUUCAGAGAGGUAUGUUAGAUUAGGCCAGGUAAAAUUAUAGUUUCAUUUUUUCCCUCUCGAGUGAUCCUCGUAUGUACAUUGUGGUCGUUAUUCUCUUAGUUUUGAUGACAAAAUACAAUUUUGUCACUACAAAAAUAGCGACCGAAAAGUUAUGUAGUUGUUAGUACCUUUAUCGGAGCCUACAAUUACACAAUAUUAUGGUCGUUGAUGAUUUCUAACGAUUAAAAAUUGUCUCUUAAUGUCCACAUAUCCUAUUAUCAAAACGUUUUACCUAUUAAUACAAACUCCAAUGGAAAACUGGCAGACUUGUACUAGUUGGAGAAAACUAAACUAUUUAUACUAGGGAAACGCUUUGUAUCUAUAGUCUGGUAAGACUCCAGCGUCAGACCAUUCCUGUAUCGUCGAUGUAAAUGAAAUCCAACGCCCCAGAAUUGUAUUUUUGUAAUUAAGGAAAUAAAAACACAAUCGGCAUGGAGCUCAGCCCCGCAACGUCCGCGCAUAAUCCUCACCUAAUUCCGCAGAUUCCAUUGCGGCAGUGCGACAUAGUAGUCAUGAAGUGUAUAUACUAUGUACAAAGCAAUUAAAUUGCUAGUAAACCCCAAACCUGGAACCAUAUACAUGGAAUCAUAUAUGAUAAAUAAAGAAAGCACACUAUACAUAACACUUCAUGGAGAGAGAAAUGAUUGUGGAUUAUGAAGCAUUGUUUUGCAUGAUUUUUAUAUGUUCAAAGGAAAUUGAGCACAUUUGUAUUUCUUGGAAAUCCCGUCCUAAUAUGUGUAAAGCAUGUGUUACCUGUACUCAUGAUAAUGGUCAUUUUGUAUGAAAGAAGGUCUUAUUUGGUUCUAUUAGUCUUCUAUUCGAUUGAACUGUUUCUUCUGUUAGGUAGAAAAAAAAUGAUUGUACGAAGUUUGGCUCGCCGUGGAAGCAAGUUCAAUUUCACAGUAGAUUGGAAGAAAAUCUCUUUGAUGUUGGAGCAAAGUCACAUGAAACUCCUGGAAGCAAAUUAAAAUAAUUUUGGAUGCAACAUCUGCUUCCUAUUCUUAAGGAAGCAACUAGCCUGGCGUGAAGCCAAUAACCGAGAGUCACGUGAUCUCCGGAAGUAUUAGUUAUGGAGUGAUCACUAGUAGAAAAAGGGCCUAAUGUGAAGCACAUUAGUCCCGGUUUGUAACAAAACUGGCACUAAUGUGAUCAUUAGUGCCGGUCCAAACAGCUAGGGGCAGAGAUCAUUAGUACCGGUUCGUGGCGAUCCUUUAGUAAAUGUUCGUGGCACGAACCGGUACUAAAGUGGCUGUUGCAGGCUGUGGUCGGGCUGGGGCCCACCCGCAUCUUUAGUAUCGGUUCGUGCCACAAACCGGUACUAGAGGUUUCCAGUUCACAACGGUUUUUUAGUCCCACCUCGCUCCACUAACAGAGUUUUUACCACCUUAAAUAUGUUACUUCUCAAACUAUCACAACCAAUUGGUCUUCAUUGAACUCUAUGUGUAGAAUUUGUGGCCGCAAUAUGAGUCUUCUCUGGUUCCUACCAGAGAGGACUCACAUUGACAAUUUAGAUUGUACACAAAAAGAUCAUUGAUGAUCAAUAUAUUUUUGAUGUAUUUCUCUGUAGCAGUAGUGCAUUUUGGCUGAAAGGCGGUACUGAUCAAUGUAUUUUAUUUAUAUUUUUACAUUACACAAGAGCCGGUUCGAACUGGACAAUCUCUUAGGAAGUAUAUUAGGGUUUCGGACGAAAACUCAUCUGUUACACCGGCUAUUCAAUAUUUUAAUAACUUAGUACAACUCCGUACUUUUUUGCGUUCACAUGCACAAUUCAAAUCCACGUCAUGAACUUUCAACCCUUUCUGACAUAAUUUUCUAUUUUCGAUGCAUUUACUGAUUUGUUUUCAGAGCUAAAUCACCGUGAAAGUGAAAAGUAGUACAAAAUGAACUCUAAAAAGGUUGAAACUUGGCAAGGUAUCAUCAUUUCACCCGCAUAGCAUGUGCAACAAAGUAGAGAGGGUUACGGCAAAAAUUGGAUGCACUUCCUGUAUAAACUGGACAAUCUCUUAGGAAGUAUCAGUGUUUCGGACGAAAACUCAUCUGUUACACUGGCUAUUCAAUAUUUUAAUAACUUAGUACAACUCCGGACUUUUUUUGCGUUCAGAUGCACAAUUCAAAUCCACGUUAUCAACUUUAAACCCUUUCUGACAUAAUUUGCUAUUUUCAAUGCAUUUACUGAUUUGUUUUCAGAGCUAAAUCACCGUGAAAGUGAAAAGCAGUACAAAAUGAACUGAAAAAUCACUACAAAUAUGAAUAUAAUGAUAAAACACACUAAUAUUAAAUAUAAGAAACUCUAAAUACAGCAAGAAACUACUCACAAAUAAAUAGAAGAAAAUAUAUAUAAAAAAUUACUUCCGCGCUGUCGAGUGGGCCUGCCCGGCCUUGGGCGUGCAUAUGCAGGCCCAUAAGGCCCAGCAGGCUCACAGGGCAGCGCGACAAAGUUAGGCCCAGAGGCCUGCAUUAUAGAGGAGCUCAAAGGAGUAGCCGCGGCUGGGUUUAAAAACCAGUGCGGCUGCCCUUCGCACGGCGAGGUGGGACUAAACAAUGAGCACCGCGUAACGGGAGCGCACCCCUUUUAGUACCGGUUCGUGGCACAAACCGGUACUAAAGGGUGGCCUUUAGUAUGAAGGAAAUAUGCCCUAGAGGCCAUAAUAAAGUUAUUAUUUAUUUCCUUAUUUCAUGAUAAAUGUUUAUUAUUCAUGCUAGAAUUGUAUUAACCGGAAACAUGAUACAUGUGUGAAUACAUAGACAAACAUAUAGUCACUAGUAUGCCUCUACUUGACUAGCUCAUUAAUCAAAGAUGGUUAUGUUUCGUAACCAUAGACAUGUGUUGUUAUUUGAUUAAUGGGAUCACAUCCUUAGGAGAAUGAUGUGAUUGACAUGACCCAUUCCGUUAGCCUAGCACUUGAUCGUUUAGUAAAUUGCUAUUGCUUUCUUCAUGACUUAUACAUGUUCCUGUAACUAUGAGAUUAUGCAACUCCCAUUUACCGGAGGAACACUUUGGGUGCUACCAAACAUCACAACGUAACUGGGUGAUUAUAAAGGAGUACUACAGGUGUCUCCAAAGGUACAUGUUGGGUUGGCGUAUUUCGAGAUUAGGUUUUGUCACUCCGAUUGUCGGAGAGGUAUCUCUAGGCCCUCUCGGUAACGCACAUCACUAUAAGCCUUGCAAGCAAUGUAGCUAAUGAGUUAGUUACGAGAUGAUGUAUUACGUAACGAGUAAAGAGACUUUCUGGUAACGAGAUUGAACUAGGUAUUGGAUACCGACGAUCGAAUCUCAGGCAAGUAACAUACCGAUGACAAAGGGAACAACGUAUGUUGUUAUGCGGUUUGACCGAUAAAGAUCUUCGUAGAAUAUGUAGGAACCAAUAUUGGCAUCCAGGUUCCGCUAUUGGUUAUUUACCGAGAAUAGUUCUAGGUCAUGUCUACAUAGUUCUCGAACCCGUAGGGUCCGCACGCUUAAAGUUAUGAUGACAGUUUUAUUAUGAGUUUAUAAGUUUUGAUGUACCGAAGUUUGUUCGGAGUCGCGGAUGUGAUCACGGACAUGACGAGGAGUCUCGAAAUGGUCGAGACAUAAAGAUUGAUAUAUUGGAAGCCUAUGUUUGGACAUCGGAACCGUUUCGGGUGAAAUCAGCAUUUUACCGGAGCACCGGGAGGUUACCGGAACCCCCCGGGGGGUUAUUGGGCCUACAUGGGCCUCGGGAGAGAAGAGGGAAGGAGGCAGGAGGGGGCCGCGUGCCCCUCCCUUUCCUAGUCCGAAUAGGACAAGGGAAGGGGGGCGGCGCCCCCCCCCCCCUUCCUUCCCCUCUUCCUCCUCUUUCCCCCUUCUCCUAUUCCAACUAGGAAAGAAGGGAGUCCUACUCCCGGUGGGAGUAGGACUCCCCCCUUGGCGCGCCCUCCUUGGCCGGCCACCUCCUCCCCCCUGGCUCCUUUAUAUACGGGGGCGGGAGGGCACCCCAUAGACACACAAGUUGAUCUACGGAUCGUUCCUUAGCCGUGUGCGGUGCCCCCCCUCCACCAUAUUCCACCUCGGUCAUAUCGUCGCAGAGUUUAGGUGACGCCCUGCGCCGGUGAAACAUCAUCAUCGUCAGCACGCCGUCGUGCUGACGGAACUCAUCCCCGAAGCUUUGCUGGAUCGGAGCCCGGGGAUCGUCAUCGAGCUGAACGUGUGCUGAACUUGGAGGUGCCGUACGUUCGGUACUUGGAUCGGUCGGAUCAUGAAGACGUACGACUACAUCAACCGCGUUGUCAUAACGCUUCCGCUUACGGUCUACGAGGGUAUGUGGACAACACUCUCCCCUCUCGUUGCUAUGCCAUCACCAUGAUCUUGCGUAGGAAAUUUUUUGAAAUUACUACGUUCCCCAACAGUGGCAUCCGAGCCUAGGUUUUAGGGUUUGAUGGUAUAUGCACGAGUAGAACACAAGUGAGUUGUGGGCGAUAUAAGUCAUACUGCCUACCAGCAUGUCAUACUUUGGUUCGGCGGUAUUGUUGGACGAGACGACCCGGACCGACAUUACGCGUACGCUUACGCGAGACCGGUUCCCCCGACGUGCUUUGCACAUAGGUGGCUUGCGGGAGAGAGUCUCUCCAACUUUAGUUGAACCGAGUGUGGCUACGCCCGGUCCUUGCGAAGGUUAAAACGGAGUCAAAUUGACAAACUAUCGUUGUGGUUUUGAUGCGUAGGCGAGAUUGGUUCUUACUUAAGCCCGUAGCAGCCACGUAAAACUUGCAACAACAAAGUAGAGGACGUCUAACUUGUUUUUGCAGGGCAUGUUGUGAUGUGAUAUGGUCAAGGCAUGAUACUAAAUUUUAUUGUAUGAGAUGAUCAUGUUUUGUAACCAAGUUAUCGGCAACUGGCAGGAGCCAUAUGGUUGUCGCUUUAUUGUAUGCAAUGCAAUCACGAUGUAAUGCUUUACUUUAUCACUAAGCGGUAGCGAUAGUCGUAGAAGCAAUAGAUGGCGUAACGACAACGAUGCUAUGAUGGAGAUCAAGGUGUCGCGCUGGUGACGAUGGUGAUCACGAUGGUGCUUCGAAGAUGGAGAUCACAAGCACAAGAUGAUGAUGGCCAUAUCAUAUCACUUAUAUUGAUUGCAUGUGAUGUUUAUCCUUUAUGCAUCUUAUCUUGCUUUGACUGACGGUAGCAUUUUAAGAUAAUCUCUCACUAAUAAUCAUGAAGUGUUCUCCCUGAGUAUGCACCGUUGCGAAAGUUCUUCGUGCUGAGACACCACGUGAUGAUCGGGUGUGAUAGGCUCUACGUUCAAAUACAACGGGUGCAAAACAGUUGCACACGCGGAAUACUCAGGUCAUACUUGACGAGCCUAGCAUAUACAGAUAUGGCCUCGGAACACGGAGACUGAAAGGUCGAGCGUGAAUCAUAUAGUAGAUAUGAUCAACAUAUUGAUGUUCACCGUUGAAACUACUCCAUCUCACGUGACGAUCAGACAUGGUGUAGUUAAUAUGGAUCACCUAAUCACUUAGAAGAUUAGAGGGAUGUCUAUCUAAGUGGGAGUUCUUAAGUAAUAUGAUUAAUUGAACUUAAAUUUAUCAUGAACUUAGUCCUGGUAGUAUUUUGCAAAUUAUGUUGUAGAUCAAUAGCUCGCGUUGUUGCUUCCCUAUGUUUUUGCUUCCCUAUGUUUUUAUACGUGUUCCUAGAGAAAAUUGUAUUGAAAAAUGUUAGUAGCAAUGUUGCGGAUUGGAUCCGUGAUCUGAGGUUUAUCCUCAUUGCUGCACAGAAGAAUUAUGUCCUUAAUGCACCGCUAGGUGACAGACGUAUUGCAGGAGCAGAUGCAUACGUUAUGAACGUUUGGCUAGCUCAAUAUGAUGACUACUUGAUAGUUUAGUGCACCAUGCUUAACGGCUUAGAAUCGGGACUUCAAAAACGUUUUGAACGUCAUGUACCAUAUGAGAUGUGCCAGGAAUUGAAGUUAAUAUUUCAAGCAAAUACCCGAGUUGAGAGAUAUGAAGUCUCCAAUAAGUUCUAUAGCUAAAAGAUGGAGGAGAAUCGCUCAACUAGUGAGCAUGUGCUCAGAUUGUCUGGGUACUUCAAUCGCUUGAAUCAAGUGGGAGUUAAUCUUCCAGAUAAGAUAGUGAUUGACAGAAUUCUCUAGUCACCAUCACUAAGUUACUAGAACUUCGUGAUGAACUAUAGUAUGCAAGGGAUGACGAAAAAGAUUCCCGAGCUCUUCAUGAUGUUGAAAUCAACGAAGGUAGAAAUCAAGAAAGAGCAUCAAGUGUUGAUGAUUGACAAGACCACUAGUUUCAAUAAAAGGGCAAAGGGAAAGAAAGGGAAACUUCAAGUAGAAUGGCAAACAAGUUGUCACUCCCGCGAAGAAGCCCAAAGCUGGACCAAAGCCUGAAACUAAGUGCUUCUACUGCAAAGGAAAUGGUCACUGGAAGCGGAAAUGCCCUGAAUAUUUGGCGGAUAAGAAGGAUGACAAAGUGAACAAGAGUAUAUUUGAUAUACAGGUUAUUGAUGUGUGCCUUACUAGUGUUUAUAGUAGCCCCUGAGUAUUUGAUACUCGUUCGGUUGCUAAGAUUAGUAACUCGAAACAGGAGUUACAGAAUAAACAGAGACUAGUUGAAGGGGAAGUGACGAUGAGUGUUGGAAGUAGUUCCAAGAUUGAUAUGAUCAUCAUCACACACUCCCUAUACUUUUGGGAUUAGUGUUAAAUCUAAAUAAAUGUUAUUUGGCUUUUGCGUUGAGCAUGAAUAUGAUUUGAUCAUGUUUAUUGCAAUACGGUUAUUCAUUUAAAGUCAGAGAAUAAUUGUUGUUCUGUUUACAUGAAUAAAACCUUUAAUGGUCAUACACCCAAUGAAAAUAGUUUGUUGGAUCUCGAUCGUAGUGAUACACAUAUUCAUAAUAUUGAUGCCGAAAGAUGCAAAGUUAAUAAUGAUAGUGCAACUUAUUUGUGGCACUGCCGUUUGGGUCAUAUCAGUGUAAAGCGCAUCAAGAAACUCCAUAAAAGAUGGAUUUUCGGAAUCACUUGGUUAUGAAUCAUUUGAUGCUUGCGAACCGUGCCUUUUGGGCAAGAUGACUAAAACUCCGUUCCCCGGAACAAUGGAACGAGUUUCUGACUUAUUGGAAAUAAUACAUACCGAUAUAUGCGAUCCAAUGAGUGUUAAGGCUCGCGGCGUGUAUCGUUAUUUUCUGACCUUCACAGAUGAUUUGAGCAGAUAUGGGUAUAUCUACUUGAUGAAACAUAAGUCUGAAACAUUUGAAAAGUUCAAAGAAUUUCAGAGUGAAGUGGAAAAUCAUCGUAACAAGAAAAUAAAGUUUCUACGAUCUGAUUGUGGAGAUGAAUUUUUGAGUUACGAGUUUGGUCUUCAUUUGAAACAAUGUGAAAUAGUUUCGCAACUCACGCCACCUGGAACACCACAAUGUAAUGGUGUGUCUGAACAUCGUAAUCGUACUUUACUAGAUAUGGUGCGAUCUAUGAUAUCUCUUAUCGGUUUACCACUAUCGUUUUGGGUUAUGCAUUAGAGACAGCUGCAUUCAUGUUUAAAUAGGGCACCAUCUAAAUACGUUGAGACGACACCGUAUGGACUAUGGUUUAGCAGUAAACCUAAGCUGUCGUUUCUUAAAGUUUGGAGUUGCGAUGCUUAUAUGAAAAAGGUUUUCAACCUGAUAAGCUCGAACCCAAAUCGGAGAAGUGCGUCUUCAUAGAAUACCCAAAGGAAACUGUUGGGUACACCUUCUAUCACAGAUCUAAAGGCAAAACAUUCAUUGCUAAGAUGGAUCCUUUCUAGAGAAGAAGUUUCUCUCGAAAGAAGUGAGUGGGAGGAAAGUAGAGCUUGAUAAGGUAAUUGUACCUUCUCCCGAAUUGGAAAGUAGUUCAUCACAGAAAUCAGUUCCUGUAAUUCCUACACCAAUCAGUGAGGAAGCUAAUGAUGAUGAUCAUGAAGCUUCAGAUCAAGUUACUACCGAACCUCAUAGGUCUUCCAAAAUAAGAUCCGUACCAAUGUGGUAUGGUAAUCCUAUUCUAGAAGUCAUGUUACUAGGCCAUUCUGAACCUACGAACUAUGAGGAAGCGAUGAUGAGCCCAGAUUCCGCGAAAUGGCUUGAGGCCAUGAAAUCUGAGAUAGGAUCCAUGUAUGAGAACAAAGUAUGGACUUUGAUUAACUUGCUCGAUGAUCAGCAAGCCAUGUUAAAUAAAUGGAUCUUCAAGAGGAAGACGGACACUGAUAGUAGUGAUACUAUCUACAAAGCUCGACUUGUCGCAAAAAAGGUUUUCGACAAGUUCAAGGUGUUGACUACAAUGAGAUUUUCUCAACUGUAGCGAUGCUUAAGUCUGUCCGAAUCAUGUUAGCAAUUGCCACAUUUUAUGAAAUCUGGCAAAUGAAUGUCAAAACUGCAUUCCUUAAUGGUUUUCUUAAAGAAGAGUUGUAUAUAAUGCAACCAGAAAUUUUUGUCAAUCCUAAAGGAGCUAAAAAAAUGUGCAAGCUUCAGCGAUCCAUCUAUGGACUGGUGCAAGCAUCUCGGAGUUGGAAUAAACGCUUUGAUAGUGUGAUCAAAGCAUAUGGUUUUAUACAGACUUUUGGAGAAGCCUGUAUUUACAAGAAAGUGAGUGGGAGCACUACAGCAUUUCUGAUAAGUAUAUGUGAAUGACAUAUUGUUGAUCGGAAAUAAUGUAGAAUUAUUCUGCAAAGCAUAAAGGAGUAUUUGAAAUGAGUUUUCAAAGAAGGACCUCAGUAAAACUACUUACAUAUUGAGCAUCAAGAUCUAUUGAGAUAGAUCAAGACGCUUGAUAAGUUUUUCAAUAAGUACAUACCUUGUCAAGAUUUUGAAAUAGUUCAAAAUGGAACAGUCAAAGAAAGAGUUCUUGCAUGUGUUGCAAAUGGAACAGUCAAAGAAACAGUCAUAGGUUCUAUAAAAGUAUGCCAUGCUAUGGACCAGACCUAUUGUAUACUCUGCCCUGGUUUGGCAAGGGGGUACAAUAGUGAUCUAGGAGUAGAUCACUGGACAUUGGUCAAAAUUAUCCUUAGUAGAAUAAGGAUUUGUUUCUCGAUUAUGGAGGUGAUAAAAGAGUUCGUCGUAAAAAGUUACAUCAAUGCAAGCUUUUACACCGAUCCAGAUGACUCUAAGUCUCAAUCUGGAUACAUAUUGAAAGUGGGAGCAAUUAGCUAGAGUAGCUCCGUGCAAAGCAUUUAGACAUAGAAUAUUUGCAAAAUACAUACGACUCUGUAAUAUGACAGACCCGUUGACUAAACUUCUCUCACGAGCAAAACAUGAUCAUACCUUAGUACUCUUUGGGUGUUAAUCACAUAGCGAUGUGAACUAGAUUAUUGACUCUAGUAAACAUUUUGGGUGUUGAUCACAUGACGAUGUGAACUAUGGGUAUUAAUCACAUACAGAUGUGAAUAUUGGUGUUAAAUCACAUGAUGAUGUGAACUAGAUUAUUGACUCUAGUGCAAGUGGGAGACUGAAGGAAAUAUGCCCUAGAGGCAAUAAUAAAGUUAUUAUUUAUUUCCUUAUUUCAUGAUAAAUGUUUAUUAUUCAUGCUAGAAUUGUAUUAACCAGAAACAUGAUACAUGUGUGAAUACAUAGACAAACAUAUAGUCACUAGUAUGCCUCUACUUGACUAGCUCAUUAAUCAAAGAUGGUUAUGUUUCCUAACCAUAGACAUGUGUUGUUAUUUGAUUAAUGGGAUCACAUCAUUAGGAGAAUGAUGUGAUUGAAAUGACCCAUUCCGUUAGCCUAGCACUUGAUCGUUUAGUAAAUUGCUAUUGCUUUCUUCAUGACUUAUACAUGUUCCUGUAACUAUGAGAUUAUGCAACUCCCGUUUACCGGAGGAACACUUUGGGUGCUACCAAACGUCACAACGUAACUGGGUGAUUAUAAAGGAGUACUACAGGUGUCUCCAAAGGUACAUGUUGGGUUGGCGUAUUUCGAGAUUAGGUUUUGUCACUCCGAUUGUCGGAGAGGUAUCUCUGGGCCCUCUCGGUAAUGCACAUCACUAUAAGCCUUGCAAGCAAUGUAGCUAAUGAGUUAGUUACGAGAUGAUGUAUUACGUAACGAGUAAAGAGACUUGCCAGUAACGAGAUUGAACUAGGUAUUGGAUACCGACGAUCGAAUCUCAGGCAAGUAACAUACCGAUGACAAAAGGAACAACGUAUGUUGUUAUGCGGUUUGACCGAUAAAGAUCUUCGUAGAAUAUGUAGGAACCAAUAUGGGCAUCCAGGUUCCGCUAUUGCUUAUUGACCGAGAAUAGUUCUAGGUCAUGUCUACAUAGUUCUCGAACCCGUAGGGUCCGCACGCUUAAAGUUAUGAUGAUAGUUUUAUUAUGAGUUUAUAAGUUUUGAUGUACCGAAGUUUGUUCGGAGUCCCGGAUGUGAUCACGGACAUGACGAGGAGUCCCGAAAUGGUCGAGACAUAAAGAUUGAUAUAUUGGAAGCCUAUGUUUGGACAUCGGAAUCGUUCCGGGUGAAAUCGUCAUUUUACCAGAGCACCGGGAGGUUACCGGAAUCCCCCAGGGGGUUAUUGGGCCUACAUGGGCCUCGGGAGAGAAGAGGGAAGGAGGCAGGAGGGGGCCGCGCGCCCCUCCCCUUCCUAGUCCGAAUAGGACAAGGGAAGGGGGGCGGCGGCCCCCCCCCCCCUUCCUUCCCCUCUUCCUCCUCUUUCCCCCUUCUCCUAUUCCAACUAGGAAAGAAGGGAGUCCUACUCCCGGUGGGAGUAGGACUCCCCCCUUGGCGCGCCCUCCUUGGCCGGCCGCCUCCGCCCCCCUGGCUCCUUUAUAUACGGGGGCGGGGGGCACCCCAUAGACACACAAGUUGAUCUACGGAUCGUUCCUUAGCCGUGUGCGGUGCCCCCCUCCACCAUAUUCCACCUCGGUCAUAUCGUCGCAGAGUUUAGGUGAAGCCCUGCGCCCGUGAAACAUCAUCAUCGUCACCACGCCGCCGUGCUGACGGAACUCAUCCCCGAAGCUUUGCUGGAUCGGAGCCCGGGGAUCCUCAUCGAGCUGAACGUGUGCUGAACUCGGAGGUGCCGUACGUUCGGUACUUGGAUCGGUCGGAUCGUGAAGACGUACGACUACAUCAACCGCGUUGUCAUAACGCUUCCGCUUACGGUCUACGAGGGUACGUGGACAACACUCUCCCCUCUCGUUGCUAUGCCAUCACCAUGAUCUUGCGUAGGAAAUUUUUUGAAAUUACUACGUUCCCCAACAUAGUACCACGUGGAGCCACGAACCGGUACUUAAGGGGGUCGCUUCCCGCCCCUUCGCCUGGCCAAAUUUAACCUUUAGUACCAGUUCCUGUCUUGAACCGGUACUAAAGGUCUCCCCUAUAUAACCAGCACUUACGAAAAUUUUCAGUUAUCAUCUUCGUCGCGCCCCGCGCCCGUCGCCGUCGUCGCUGCCCCCUUCGCUGUCGUCGUCGCCGCCCCCGUACGCCCCCGGCCCGCAGCCCCCGUCGCCGUACGUCAUCGCCCCCCCCCCACUGUAAGAUCGAUUGCCGCUCGCCGGCGGCCUCCUGCACACACACACACACACACACACACACAUGCACNNNNNNNNNNNNNNNNNNNNNNNNNNNNNNNNNNNNNNNNNNNNNNNNNNNNNNNNNNNNNNNNNNNNNNNNNNNNNNNNNNNNNNNNNNNNNNNNNNNNNNNNNNNNNNNNNNNNNNNNNNNNNNNNNNNNNNNNNNNNNNNNNNNNNNNNNNNNNNNNNNNNNNNNNNNNNNNNNNNNNNNNNNNNNNNNNNNNNNNNNNNNNNNNNNNNNNNNNNNNNNNNNNNNNNNNNNNNNNNNNNNNNNNNNNNNNNNNNNNNNNNNNNNNNNNNNNNNNNNNNNNNNNNNNNNNNNNNNNNNNNNNNNNNNNNNNNNNNNNNNNNNNNNNNNNNNNNNNNNNNNNNNNNNNNNNNNNNNNNNNNNNNNNNNNNNNNNNNNNNNNNNNNNNNNNNNNNNNNNNNNNNNNNNNNNNNNNNNNNNNNNNNNNNNNNNNNNNNNNNNNNNNNNNNNNNNNNNNNNNNNNNNNNNNNNNNNNNNNNNNNNNNNNNNNNNNNNNNNNNNNNNNNNNNNNNNNNNNNNNNNNNNNNNNNNNNNNNNNNNNNNNNNNNNNNNNNNNNNNNNNNNNNNNNNNNNNNNNNNNNNNNNNNNNNNNNNNNNNNNNNNNNNNNNNNNNNNNNNNNNNNNNNNNNNNNNNNNNNNNNNNNNNNNNNNNNNNNNNNNNNNNNNNNNNNNNNNNNNNNNNNNNNNNNNNNNNNNUAGGUAUAUUUUUAGUAAGUGCUUAGUUGAAUUAAUUAGUUGAACUAGCUAUUUGAAUUAAUAGAACUAGUCUAAUUAGUUGAAUUAAUAUAUAACUAAUAAGUGUUUAAUAUAUACUAAAUUUAGGUAUAUGAGAUUUGAUCAUCUAAUUAAAAGUUUAGUAUAUAGAACUAGCUACUUUAUUUAUAGUAAGAAAAUUAAUAGAACUACUUUAGUUGAAUUAGUUGAACUAGUUAAUUAGUUGAAUUAGUUGAAUUAGGAGCUAUACUUUUUUUAGGUAUAUUUUUAGUAGGGAAAACUUUUUUUUGCCACUCUAACUUUUGCCCACUUUGGUUAUGCCACUCUAGAAUUUGGCAUUUCACUUCUGCCACUCUUAGCUUUUGACAAUACAUCAGAAAUACCAUUUCGUGGCAAAAGCAAUAGUUUUUCAUUUCACUUUUGCCACUCUUAGAUUCUGGCAAUUAUCACAAUUGCCACUCAAAAAUUAUUGCUUUUGCCACAAAAUGACAAUUGUGAUGUAUUGUCAAAAACUAAGAGUGGCAAAAGUGAAAUCUCAAAUUCUAGAGUGGCAUAAGCAAAGUGGUCAAAAACUAGAGUGGAAAAAACAAAGUUUUUCCUUUUUAGUAAGUGCUUAGUUGAAUUAAUUAGUUGAACUAGCUAGUUGAAUUAAUAAAACUAGACUAAUUAGUUGAAUUAAUAUAUAACUAAUAAGUGUUUAAUGUUUCACCUAUGAACAUAGGAAAUGUCGUCUGACGAUGAAAACGAUUUCAUUAUGUGUGAAGACUGCGAAGACCAACGCGGCCUGUGCGACAGAAAUUUCCUAGUUGAUGAUAGGCGCUUCAGCAUCAAGUUGGAUGAGACCUUCGAAGUGGAUACAGUAAGUCACAACGACAAGUCUUUUUUCGUAAUUAAGCAUGACUUAUAUAUGCUUCAUUUGCUUCAACUUAUUAUUUUAAAUUUUUACUAUUCUACUAGCGUAUCCCCUGCCAUGCAAGAAUUUUUGUCUUGGAUAAGAUAGGUUUCAGUCGUGACAAAACUAUGGAGGUAAAGAGAGUUUACUUGAAGACCGAGCAUGGUUAUACCUUCAACGUCAAAUUAUACAAUCAAGAAACCUACACCCAUUUUGAAUGCAAAACUUGGCAAGCACUAUGCAAGGCUUAUGCAUUUGAGCCUGAUAUGUUUAUCACCUUUGAUAUCCGUCCCGAAGAUGAUAUUGAAGGUAAUAGAGACAUUUGGGUCAAUGUGCAGACGCCUCCAGUUCUACCAUUAUGUGAGUUUCUCAUGCCAUAUUUAUGCUGAUAUUGUUUUUUCAAAAAUAGUUGACAACUAUAAUUUCAAUUAACAACUUAUUUCCAUUCAAGCAAACAUGUACAACGCUUGGUAGACAGGACCGUCCACUAUCCCGGGGCUGAACUAAACUGCGAGGAGAUAAGUCAAUAUGUUUCAUGGCUUGAGGAUCUUGAUGCUGUUAAGAGAAAUUAUUGUCCUAGACUUGCAAAUCUUAGUACUCAAAACGUGCGACCAACAGUGUUCGUAUUGAACUACGGUCACUUGUAUUUAGGAAAGAUGGUAAGAUUAUACUAUUUGUCCUCAGUGCAUCUUUUGCAUACAUUAUUUUUUAAGCUAUACUUCAUGUUGCUAAGUAUGAUACUAUACGAUGUUCUCUUCAACAGGGACUCCCGAUGAUAGUUCUGCCUCGGUGGAUCUCGACUAAUGGUCGCAUGGCAAUUAUUAGCUUACGGCCAAGACAUCCUACAUUGCACACGAGUGCAUUCAAGAUUUAUAGUUCCGAGGAAUGCUUAAAACUGAAAGACUGGAGCAAAAUUGUGAAUGAUCGUAGAGAAGUACUAGGAGUCAACAAGUAGAAGCUCAACCCACGAUUAGGAGACAGGUUCAUCUGCAUGCUCCAAUAUGAUGCAUCAGGACAUCUACACAUGUUCUAUGCCAUUUUACCAGAGAGAGAGCAGCAGGAGCUAGUAUACCAUUAUAACUUGUUGGUGAUGAUAUAUAUGAUGCAAAGGUUUUUAUAUUAAUAUGAUGAUGAUGAGUUAUUAUAUCAUUUCUGAAAGAAACCGCAGAUUAGUUUCAACUGGAUGGAUCCUAGCUAGCUAAGUGAUCAAGUAUAUAUAUGCCAUAUCCAUAUUAAUUACUUGCUCACCUAAUAUAGGUGAUCAAGUAAUAUAUAUGGAUAUGGCUUAUAUACUUUGAUCACUUAGCUAGGAUCCAUGCAUGCAUCCAGUUGAAACUAAUCUGCGGGUACUUUCACCUAAUGAUUUAACAACUCAUUAUAAUGUAAAAACAAUCUCUAAAUUAAAUUGAAAACACAAAACUAAAGGAAAAAAUACCAAAACCAUCCGAACAUUUAGUACCGGUUGGUGUUACCAACCGGUACUAUAGGUCUCCCCGCACCCGGCCCUGCCUCGUGCCACGUGGUGGCACUUUAGCAGCGGUUCGUGACCAACCGGUAUUAAAGGGGGGGGACCGUUAGUCCCCACCCUUUAGUGCCGGUUACAAAACCGGCACUAAUAGCCCUUACGAACCGGUGCUAUUGCCCAGUUCUGCACUAGUGGAUAUUCUUUUUUAUCUAGAAAGAACCAUGCAAACGAAGAGAAACGAGAGUUACGGAUGCAGUUAGGAAACACCAGUAAAUCAACGAUGGAAAAAGACUACUUUCUUGCAUGGCAUAAUUACGAGAUCGGACGAACGUCCUGCUUCCAAUCAAACGGACUCCGACUUGUCGGAUAGAUGUAAAUUACCGGUAGUCUGAUGCCUAGUGGUGCCUUUUAUACUAAGCACUUUUACUUGUUUAGCAUUAAUUAUCACAUAUUGAAACUAAUACUCUUUACUAUAUUUAAUGAUAUUUACCACAUAUCCACAUUGGUAAUAUUUAAAACUUAAACAUUAUAGCCUACAAUACAAUUUCUAUAAUUAGAAAUGCAAUGACUUAAGUAGAAUAUUUUUUUAUCAUUAACAAAAUAUUCUUUUUCAAAAUUUAGUUCAUGAGAUUGUGUUAAAAUAAAUUUGUUGAUAUAAAUCUGAAUUGCAAAAUGAAAAAUCACAUGCAUCCAUUGAUUGAGUAAUUUGUUCUAUUUAUUUAGACUGAUAAAAGACAGCCAUAUAUUCGGUAUUGUUUCGCUGGCCUACACAUGCAGUUUCUUUGAUAUUUUAUACACAUUAUAAUGCGAUUAUAUGUGGUUGUGCCUGUUAUGUCUGUACAUAUCUUGCUAGAUGAUUCUAAAAUAUUGUGGGUUAUGUCUUAAUUGGUUGUGCAUGGUAGUGACCUUGUUGAAGGCAUUGUUUUGAGAGCGUGGAUCUUCUCCAGGGUGAAAACCUAAGAUCUAGGAUCGGGCUAUGAUGGUGCUUCUGCACUGUUUCCUUCUUGGAGGCGUCACUUUUGGAGAAUGAGGACUUCGGCUGUUGUCUAGGUGGUGGUUCGUGUUGCAGCUACGAGGAAUUGAUCACUGUUGCGUGAUCUUUUUUUUCUCUUCUUCUUAUUGUCUUUAGGCUGUGUGCAUCCGUAAUGUCUUUAUGAUAUUGCGUUGUUGCAGAGGCCGGGUGUAAUUGGUAUCUCCGUGAUAUUAAUAUAUUUCCUUUGCCGAAAAGAUGAUUCCAAAAUGCAUGAACCUAAGAAAUGUAUUGUAGUUAUCGCAUCUCCUGUUUCAUGAAUAUCCCAUCAAGUAGUUAAGUCAUCUUCUCUUCUAUUCCGGAUCUGUGAUGUUUAGUGAUGUCUAAUAUAUGUGUGGUCACAUUCUAUCGUAUAUGACACCUGAGGCCGGGCUUAGAUCCAGGAAUCGCGGCCGUGUAUGGUGUUUCGGUUCGCUAGCUAGCUAGCUAGGGUUAACAACGAAAUCGAUCGAUGGGUCUAUCGCUACGCUAUAUAUGUCGCUUAUAUUAAAAUAGCUACCGACAAUUGGCUUUCUUAGGGUAUUGAAAAAUCCGUGACUGUACGUAUCAGGCUCGGUCUCUGUGAAUUGCACCGUUAAGUAACGUACGUACGUAUCCUUGUAUGAUAUGCGCGUUGCAACCAUGCGUCGGUGCGUGUUACCUUUUUCUGCCCUGAUCAUAAAGUAUAUGGCUCUCCACCGAUCCCCUGCCUGCCUUGUGCUAGCCUAUAUCUACCGGCAGAUUAAUAAGGAAGUUCAUCGCAAGGCCGCCGUUACGUUGAAGAAAUGUUGUUGUCAUCGCAGAGCCGCCGUUGUAGGAGCAUCGUGCUUGCCGUAGCAAACACUCUCGUUGUCACAGUAGUGCCCUGCGGUUGCACAAGCGUUGCCGUUGUCGCAACAACAUCACUGUCAUUGCAGAAGCACUCUCAAUGGCGUGCCCGGCCAGAGCACCCAUCAACAUCAUUGUGGUCAUCGAAGCAUCACCACGAUCACUCGACGCCAUCAUGUCACGCCUCGUUGCCGUGGUUGUUGAAACAUUGUGUGGCUGUCGCUGUCGUCGUACCAUUGCCGCAAUCACCGAAGCAUGCCUCGCAGCAUGGCCAUGGUGUCGACACCGUCACGACACGCCUCCUUGUUGUGCAUUACCCUGGCGGUUGACGUCCUCGUGGUUGUCGAAGCAUUGUCAUGAUCAUUGAAGUAUGCCUCGCGGCAUGGCCAGGUCGUCGACACCGUCAUGACACGCCUCCUUGUAGUGCAUUGCUACAACCAUCGACGUUGUCAUGGUCAUCAAAUCAUUGUCACGAUCAUUGAAGCACGCCUCACAUCAUGUGCACGGUCGUCCAAUGACGCCACCGCAAGCCUCGUCGUUGUGGUCGUCGAAGCAUUGUCGCGGCCGUUGAAGCAUUGCCGCGGCCGUUGUCAACGUGUUCACCUGCUGUAGCACCCGCUUGUUGGUUUCUCCGUUUGGGAGUCGCACUUAGUUUUUUUUUUGAGCAUCAGUACAAAAACAAGCGCUCAUAUACACGCGCAUACACUCAUCCCUAUGAACGCACACACGCACACCCUACCCCUAUGAGCACCUCCGAAAGACUGAGCCGUCAUAUCAUCUUGAGAUUUACGAAGUCACCGUAGGCGCCUCGUCGUCGAUGGGAACGUCUCCUCCCACUGAAAGCGCAUCGCCGGAAAUCCUGAAAUAAAUCCAGGAAUAAUGCGAGUACCAGGAGUUGGAUAUGCAUUAUGCACUAUACCCAGGUAGGCUUUUCUUCCGCUUUGGCUUACUCGUAGUAGUGCAUUAGUUGUCACCAGAAUUGUUCGUUAUUUUUAAAAUGUAUUUAUUGUAUUAAGAACUAUCCGAAUACAUAGUUAUAUGAACAUUGUAACAUGCGAGACAAAUUUUACGUAACAUGUUAAUGAUUCAACGACAACAUCCUCAUGAAAAAUACACUCUAGAAUUUAUGUAUACCUUGAUCAUAAAUUAGAAACUGCUAUUCGCAUAUUUCUGAAGGCACCAGGGUUAGACAUAUCUACCAAGAUAUUUAAAUAUACAGAGAUAAAUACAUACACUAUUUCAUGUGAGUAUCACAAAUUAAUUUGAGCAUGAUUUUGUUGUCUCUUAUUUUCCACAUAAUUAUAAGAUAGAGUAUAAAUAUCUCUUCAAUGCCCAAUGUAUCAAAGACAAAAAAAA